rnacentral:lncRNA from 1 species
UCUCCACAGCUGUAUAUUACAAACAUAACCACAACAUACCUCGGCUUUCGGGUCGAAUGAUUGAGAUAUGCACAAAAACGGUCUUCUUUAUAAUAUAUUAACUAGACAACGCAGGUAGUAUGCUGCAGGAAAGGAAAACAACAUUCUCUUAGAGAGCACAUGAUAUGCAUUAAAAUAUUAAAGAGCAGAGCUAGGUAUUAGAGACAGGAUGAAUGGACAAAAACAUUCUCUUAAAUGCUUUUAAAUGAAUUAUAGGAACUGGACAUCUGAUUAUUCCCCUAUGGAAAGAGAGAGGUCCAAAGCUUAAUUCUCGUAAACGGUAUGAUACGCAUAUCAUGUGCCAAUCUUCAUAGAAACCAGAUCAAAUAUGAGUUAAACUAAUAAGUUGUUUCACAUGACACAAGAGCUUCCACAAGUGAACCAAUAUAUUUCCAGAAUACUUCUGGCCACAAAAUUGCGAACAAGUUAUUCACUUUCCAAUGUAAAUGCAAAAAGCUAUUUCCUUAGACUCUCUGUUCUGAAACAGAUCCUGCAGAUCAAGAUUUGUUAAGACUAAACUAUUGCAUCAAUAAAAGUCAACUAAGGGGACUAGACAUUAAAUUGACUUAAUCGGUAGUUCAUUAGCAUUUUUAGCUAAAUUGCUCAACAGCACGCAAUUGAUCUAAUAGUAUGAUUAUAGAUUCAGAAUGCCUCCAGGAUCGAUUCUAAAUAUGCCCAGUGAAAACUUUCAAAAGCCUGUGCUCUAAGUGACGGGAAAGAUUGGAUUCUAGGUCUGUCAAUUUAUGCUUAAUUUUCACAUAUGAGCUUCAUAAAGAUCUCCUAUCCAAGAAUAAAAAACCAGAAAAGUUUUCUUCUACAUUUGAAUCUAAUUUUUCAACAAUUGGGUAUAUGGUGAACCGAGAACUCCAGGUCCAAAGGGGUAAAAAAUGUAGCAAAAGCUCUUACAUUAGAAAUGAACAAUCCACCAUUUCUACAAAUGAAUAUGAUUUUUUGUUGUAGAAUACUAGGAUAUACUGAUAACAUGAAAAUACCUCACUGCUCACAAUUGAACAUACUGCAGAAAUGACUUAAAAAAACAAAGAGCAGACAAAAACCAACAAUACAAUGAUCAGUAAUACAGACUGACCUGGACAUGACCAUAUAGAGACACCUCUAGCAAUCUUCCAUUUUCACAAGAUUCAUGUAAAUUGGCCACAAGAUGUCCAAGCAUGGUGUAUACAAGUAUUCAGGGCCCUCAGCAAUCCAUUUAAGCUAGUAGCCUGGUUCCGCAUUCACUGGUACAGGAAAUUAGUUAUAUAGGUGUCAUUACUUUAUUGUCUUUUUGUUGAACUAAUAGUAGAUGUGGAAGUCUAGGAUAACACUACUGAGCAAAGUAUGUCUGCUUACCAUUUUGGAGUACUUCAAGUUAGGUUUCUCUUCAAUGAAAGCAGGUGGUCGUUGAUAAAUCACUGUUGCAGCUCUUAUCAAGAUUCUAGCAGUUAAACCCCAUAUAACAUAAUCAUCAUCUCCUGUUUUGUAAUCAAAGAAGUGGAUCAAAUGUGUUUCCCCCAACCACUCAAUCUCCUCGCAUCUCCGGUUCUCAUCCUGUGUAAUAUAUUUUUAAACCAUUAAUGUUUCAGGUAAUAAAAACUGCAACUAUAAAGCCUCCUUGAUAAAAGAAACAAGAGGAACCUUGAGAAACAUUUCAAAGGGUGCAUCAAACACGGCUUCCACUUCUGUAGGAUUUGGCGUUGGAUUGAAUGCAUCUUUGUCCCAUAAUAUUCCUACCACAGGAGUUACUCUGAGCAGAUGCUGCAUUGGAAAAGGAAGCACGGAUAAGCAUAAAUUCUUAAAGAAAGCCUGGUAUAUGGCAGACAAAAAAAUUGGAAUAGAGGCUGAAUCAACAUUCAAACGUUAAUUGUAUCCCCAGAAAACACAGCUCCCAUAUCUUAAUAUGAACAUGCAUUCUUCUUAAAAUGAACAAAGGAGGGCAGUGAGCAUUUUUAAUACCAGAGACAUAAAUGGUUCGAGGAAAACAACAACGUCAACAAGGGAAGGGUCUAAUCCAAUCUCUUCCUCUGCCUCUCUGGUUGCAGUGAUCCCAUCAUCCUUGUCAUGCUCUUCUGCUUUACCACCUGGUAAAGAAACUUCUCCUGCAACAGAAAAAAGAAAACACAAUCCAUCACCCAUAGUAUCAUUAUCAUUAUCCCAUAUUAGUUCUUGUUCUGUACUCAAGUGACCAUUAAGCACUUGGAGGCUUUUCAAACCAUUAAUCCUGAAGGUUUGAAAAAUUAAAUACAAAUGGCUUCAAAGACAACAAUUUAAAAUGUUCCCCUCACAACAAAAGAAAACCCCAAUCAAAAUGAUAUGAUACUCAGCAACCGAAAUUCGAAAAGCGGAUUACAAACCUGAGUGAGAAGACAGUGAGGAAGACCUCUUAGUGAGGAUCACACGCAAAUCACCGUCGUCUCCUUCGAAGAGACAGAUCAAGACAGCAGCUUUUUCCGGUCUGAGGCUCACCGGAGCCAUAGGUUCCUGAAACCCAACGUGGGAGACCAAUUUCCUGGUGCUCUCCUGGUAUGCACGCAUCUCUUCCGCCUCGUCGAACGGCGAACAAAGGGGAGGUUUGUAUACACGCAGCUGCUCCGCCAAGGCUAAGAGUCUGGAAGAUCCAAGUUUAAAGCUUGUGGCCGCUGACGACGAGGCUGAUGCUGCCGACUUCAUGAUAUUGCUGAGAAUUCCAGCUGUCCCGGAAGCCAAUGGAACUUUUGGCAGUGAGACUAAGUUCAAAAUUGAAACUUUUUACCCUAAAUUUAGAUUUUAGGUUAUACGCACUAUUCGGUUAGACGGUAGCAUAAUGGUUGUAGAAAUUUCGUACCACCAUUUCUCACCGAAUAUUUUCUAAUACUAGGAUAGAAUUAAAGGUGAUUGGAAAGAAACAAAUUCAAGACUUAGCCUAGGCAUGUCAAUCUGAAUAAUCCAAUCCUGGCCGAAGCUUCCAAAUCAGCAAGUCCAUUCCUUUUCUUAUAGCCUUUAUAUUUGAAAGAUUGGCCUCAUUAUGAACAGAAGCUUGUUUUGGGAUUUUGUAUACAUCCAUAUAAAUUUUGGCUUGGGACUACUAUGAGAGACAAACAAAUGCAUGUAUUAAACAAACAAGAACAACCAUUGUAGUCUACAUAACAAAUACAUGUAUUUACAUCACACCAGAGACAGAACAUAGACCAAAUAAAUAUACCCUCAAUCUUCAAGUGUACGUGUAUACUCUUUAGACGCAGACAAAGUUAACUUCGCUUCACGCACCGGGAAACGACAAUCUCCGUGGUUUCACUGCGUUUCUAGCUCCUGAGGAUGGAGCUUUGGCUGGAACUGAUGAUAAUGACAUUACUCUCUUUGCUGGUGAAUUUGAGUUUGUCUCACUUUUGCAUAAUGUCUUUAAGCUCUUUGGUUUCUUAGGUGUCACUGAAUAUCUUACUUCCCAAGGCCGAGCAGAAAUCCAACGCUCUUUCCAGCUCCAACCCCAAUUAGUGUUGCCUAGCUCAUAACUCCCCAGCCAUUGAGUCUUACCAUCGGCUUUCCACUGUUUUAAGGCCAUGGAUUAAAAACUUUUCUUCUCACAUUCAAAGCAGCAAACAAGAAAGAAACUGUCUUUAUAUACCUGAUGAGAGAAGGCAUAUGCCAAAGCCCUUUCCCGCUUGAUGGUCGCUUCUUCCCUUUGAAGUAUCCUCUCCAAGAUUUCAUCUUUUGUCUCUGACCCACCAUUCCAUUCAACCUGCAUUGGGAUCACUUUAAUGUUCAUUUGUUUACAGAUGAUCAAGCCUGAGCUUUAAACAGCUCAAAAAUAACAUUUUUGGCACUUUCACAAAAUCUUACCUCAACAUCAUGAAGUUUUGCCUCAAGCUUCUGUUGAUGCUCUAAUCUCUUAUUCUUCAGUCGCCAUUCGGUAACCAUGCAAACUCGGCGAGCCUUUAUCUCUGACUGUAUUUUACUCCAUGAGUGAAGAUACCUUAAGGUGACCACCGCUUGGUUCUUGACAGAGUGCUUCUCAGUUGAUAACUUUGCUCUUGCAAUUCCCUUUAGACGCCGCAAGAUUUUUCUAGCCUGUGCAAAGAAAAGACCACAACACAAGAUCCAUAAGAUUUCCAAUGUCAAUAUAAAAAUCAUGCCAAAUAAAUUUGAAAACUAGUAACUCAAUGGACCUUAUAAGCUUUAAAAGCAGUCUGAAUCCGAGUUGCAGCCCAAUCCUCGGUACGAGUAAGUGAUGAAGAAAGAGUACCCUUCUUCUUGGAAGCUUUAGGUUUAACAAAUCCCUGUAACAGAGAACAUCUUUAUAAAACACAAUUUAGUAUUUGUUUUCAUGCCAUUGUGUAAAAGAAAAAAAAACAUACCUUAUCGUUCUUGAUGCUCCUUUGUUUACCCCUCUUCAAUCUAAUUAUAGCCUUAAUCAAAUUCCCAGAACCCAUCUCAGAGUCUGUCCAAUUUGUCACCAAAACAGCUUGUAUGUAUGCAAAUGCUGCUCUAAACCUGAGAUGGAAGAGAAAUUAAUUAUGGUUAACAAAACAUCUAAUAGUGAAGGAUCAACUACUUCAACUAAACUCUUGACUACCACUACUGGAUUGGGUUCUUAUACUCAACUACUCAUACACAACCAAAAUCAACUAAUCAAGUACACCCAAAUAGAAAAGUAACUUGAUAACAAACCUUUAAAUCCUUAUGUGAAAAAACCAAUGCUCUGAAAAUGAAAAAAGGUUCAAACUUUACUAAACCCAACACUAGAGAUGAGCAAGAGACGACAUUAGACUGAACAAGAUAGUAACCCCAUAAAUUUAUCGGCAAAUCAAAACCACAAAUUGUAUAUUUUCCAGAUCCAAUCUACAACCAUUGAAAAAAAAGAGAAGUUCCAGUUUUAACUAAAGAUAGAGACAAAAAACCUGAGCUCGGGACCACAGGUGCUUGACUGUGAAUGAACUGGAAACUGGCUUUGGCGACGACACGAACAGAUGAACGCAAACGCAGAAGAAGACUAAAGCAGAGAGACAAGAAAACAGAACGGAGAUUUGGUGACUGAAUGAUUUGAAGGGUUUUUGCUCUGUAGUAAGGAAGAAGUAAAGGAGGACUAUAAAAGAGACAUCAUUACAGCGUCGUGUGUGACUGACUCGUGGGAAAGACUGCAAAUAUUAGGCUGUAAUCACAUUUUCUUAAUUUUUAUUUGUAUAAUCAGUAAUUGUUUAAUCAAAUUGUCACAGUGUUUUACACCAACAGUUCACUGUAACACAAAAAAAAAAAAAAAACAUAAUUAAGAUUUGUCAGAUUCUGACUCUUUUUAUUUUUAUCACGUUCGUUCUACCGUCUGUGUAAAGGUACGAAGUAUGUAGUAUUUACUUUGCUUACAAGAUGUCAUAAUUAUAAAACACCCAUCAGAAUUUUCGUGACUUGUAUAUACUCCUCUAAAUCUAGAAGUUGAAAAGUAGUUUGAGCAACAAAACAAAACAAAUGUUGAAAAGUAGUGAAAUAGGAGUAAUAAUUACGAGAUAUAAAACUUAAACUACUUUCGUUUAAUGGUAUUUUUUUCUUCCUUUAAAUGAUCUGAAUACGAUUCAUUAAAUAUCAACUAUGACAGCUUAACCAUAUCUGAGUAUGUUUUAUAAAGUUUUGAUUUGAGGCCACCACCGGCACUGAUUGAUUGCUAAUGGUGUUUUAAGAAUUAUAAUUGUUUUGAUGACUAUCUUAUGGAUUACUAAAUGAGUUUGGACGUAUUAAUUAACCUUUGUUUAAACUGAAAAUAUUUUACCAAUCACUCUCUUAGAUUCUUACCGUUCAACUGAUAUUGUUGAAUUAGCGGUCAAAAAUAUCAAACCAAAUUUCAAAUGUUUCGACGUGUUUAUCUUUUAUGUGUCAAUGAGAUGUCAUUAACGUAUUCGACAUAGCAACAAACUAACAAUGAUACUGUGUGUAGUUUUUUUAUGUAGUAGCUAUAUAACUAGUUUUAAUAAAUAUUUGAAAAAAACACCAUACACACAAAUCCAAAUGAAAUAAUUAACAUUUUAUUUAAAAUUGUAAAAAAAUACUUGGAUAUGAAAUAAUUUUGGCUUUUUUCAUAAGAAAUAUUAUUUCGACUUGAGUUUGUUGAGGCAUUUGGAUAUUAGUGAAUUAUAUAUAUGUUAUCAAAUGGUUUCUUGAAGUGGUUGGUCGAUAAUGAUGAGCCAAAAAAAAAAAAGCAAUGGCUUAGCAGAAUCAUUUGACUUCAGCCGAGGGCCUGAGGGGUCCGAAGUUUCCAAAAUCGAUAUUGCACCUACCAUACACUCAUAUUUUGAUCCAUCUACCACAGACAGGAAACAAAAUCAAUGAAUCUUUUAAUAGGAAAUUAUUAAUUGUCCCAAUAAGAUAUUAAGCUAAAAUUUAUGAUGAUUCAGCAGCUGAGCCACCACCACCACUGUGGUUUGUACCUAAUUCUAGUGAAUGAAACUUAUCAGACAGUAAAUGGGAAGAUGUCGAAAAGUUGUUGACACUAGGAUACAUGGUUUGAGCUUAGGUCUCAUUGUAGAACUAUAUUUAUAUUAAAAAAAAAAUUAUUGAUGUUAUAUGAAUUGUAAUCUCUGGAAAACAGUUUAUAUCAAAACAAAAGUAUUAUGAAACUAAAGAAUAGUAUAUAUUGUUGUAUUCAGAUUUUAACCAAAUUCUUUACGGCCACUUAUGUAAUUUAGUGUAGGCAACACUUAAUAUUAUGUGUAACUUAGUUUAAGCAAUACUUAGUUUAAGCAAUUCGUAUGUCAAUAAAUACUUUUUCAAUUUUACACCACUCGGUCAAGAUCUAGGGAUGUUGUGGUCCAACGUCGACUCCAUGUGUGAAGGUGCCUUCAGACGAGCAUAAACUUUUUUCUAACGAGUGGUUUUGAAUUUUGAUAGUCUCAAAAAAUAAUAGUCUACCUAUUUUUUAAACAAACCCUUCUAACAACAAUAGGACUACAUAUGUGAUCAGGAUUUGGACCAAGGAUUCUUUGGAUGUUUUAGAGUACAUAUAGGGUCCCUACAAUAGUUUGCAGCUAUUAUUGAUUUUGUUUAAUCUUUGUCUUAUUAUUAUUAUUUUUUUUUUUUUUGUGAUAAACAAUCUUUAUGUCUUUUCAGACAUAUAGACAGUUAAUUCGAUCGACCAUGACCCCGUUCGUUCGUAUCCUCUUAUCCAUUAAGCAUUUUUUUCUUCAACCUCUAUGUUUGAUUAUUUGCUUUAAUAUACAAAAACAAUUCACAGAACCCCACAAGCAGCAAACUAAACUAAUAAACUAAUCCCAUUUGUGGUGUACCGAUUCAAAAUCAACCCUAUUCUUUAAUCCAACUGAUAUUUUGAUAAUGUUCUCCAAGUUCAUUAGUGGUGAACGUAUUUCAACUCUUAAUCCAAAUAUAUUCAAAAUGAAUGUCAACUCUCAAUGAUCUAUUUAUAAUAAAAACUGUAAAUAGAACUCUUGAGAACCAUUUUGGUGUGUGUUUUAUUAUAGAUAGAUCAAAAGAGAGAUGGGUUUCAACGAUCCUUCACUAAACACAAUUAUCCUUUGGUUUGCAGCCGUAACGUCUCUUGUGACUAUCUCUGUAAUCUUCGCUCUUCUCGUUCUUUGUUUGCUCAAACGCCGUAGGUUUGAUGUAUCACCGGAAGAAGAGAACGAGUACCAUGGGAGAAGUGAGCCACCGUGCCAAGGGCUUAGCGCUUCCGUGAUUGCCGCCUUUCCCACCUUUUCUUACAAACCGGAUAAUAAUAACGAUCUUGAGAGUAACAAUCAGGAGAUCGAGUGUCCGGUUUGCUUAGGAUUGAUCCCCAAGAACGUUGUGAUUAAGGUUUUGCCUAAUUGUAUGCACAUGUUUGAUGAGGAAUGUAUCGGUAAGUGGCUUGAGUCACACGCAACUUGUCCUGUGUGUCGUACACUGGCUCAACCGAUGGCUAGCUCUGGAGAUAAGGUCUUAGAAAAAGUAUAGUAUAGUUGAUGGUUAUAUAUGCCAACUUUACAUAAUUUUUGUGUUUUUGCUAAUUGUAAUAUUAUUUCAGAUUGAUGUGAAAUGUACAAAUGAUAUAACUCAACAUGCGGCUUUGGGUCGUCAUACACACAUAGUCCCAUACUACUUCAAUUUGAGAUGCUCGAUCAAAUGAGAAAGUCAAAUUUUAUGGUUUAUUGUCCACUAUCUUAUACAUAUACAUAUAAUAGUCCCACUUUCUUAGAGGGAAGAGUACUAUAACACAUUCGUUCUCUUCUCAAACUCAUACGUUGUCACUUUCGAGUUUUAAGCAAUCAAAUUUGUUAUUAAUUAGACAGUGGUUGGUCUUUUACUCAUAUGCUUAACUAUACAUCAUCAUCUUACAUCUAUACUAUAAGUGGAAAAGUGCGAAGUUGGUCACCGUAUACUUACUUUACAAGUUUACAUAUAGUCAAAUCUUCAGAAACGUUAACCUAUACAAAGAUAUGUGACUGUUGAUCCUAGUUGGCUUAAAAUUAAGCCUACGUAUUGGCAGGAAUAUAUUGUUAUCUCUUUGGUCUUUAAAAUCAAGAGAAAAGCUUAUAUAUACUCCUUAUGAAUCAGAAGGUCUCAAGUAGAGAAGAGUUAAUGAAGUCCUUGGUGCUUUAAAUUGAACUUAAAAGGACCAGUAGGAAGCUUAUGUACGAGGCAGUGUCUCCAAAACACUAGGUUUAAGUCUAUACUUUAAUAAAAGAACGAGAGAUAGGGAAUUCACAUGUCAUUUGGAAAACAGGGAAUAUAAAUGUAAAACUAUUAUGGGCUGACGUAAUACGUAUAUAUGGUUUAUAACUUUAUAUCAAGUUCUUUAACUUUAGAAUUGUGUAUAUACUUGGUAAUGCGUUAAUUGUGUAUACUCUUCAUGCAGAUCCGUUGAGUGAAAAGGUUGACAAAGAAAAGCCCAUUAACAAAAAGCAUAGAUUUCGUAACACCAUUUUUUGGGUUGAAUUUCGUAAAAACAUUUUUAGGGUUAAAAUUCAAUUAAACCACUACUCAACGGAUCUUACGUACUGUCGAAUAUUACGGUAGAUCUUCCAACGUGGGAAAGAACACCUAAAUUAUAGACGAUUUGUUAUUUUUAUAACUCAAUUUACUUAUAUAUUUAUUUACAUUGGGAUUCAUAAUGGAUAAUUAACAUCAAUCAUUUUUGUAGCACAGCGGUCGAACGCUGUCGUUGACCACAUAGGGAGAUAUCAGUGUAAUGUUCUCUAGCCAUGAUCGAAAUGAGUCACAAAAUCAAUGUCAAUACUAUUUUAUAAAAGUAUAGAUUUCUGAAAAUAUCGAACACGUGAUUUACGUUGGAUCGUAGCCUCGUAGGGUAUGGGCCAUUUACAAAGUAGGAGGUCAAUAAUUUGAUGCAGAUGACGCAAAGAUAUGCAUGAUCAUGCAUCAUCAUUGUGGUGUUUGCAUAUUCAAAAACAACCUAAAAACAGGAAAUUAACACACACGCAAUAUGAUAGGUAAAGAUCAAAGACAGUCCAAGAACUAACAAUGCAAUGCAACACUUAACAAAAGACAAAAACUAUACAUGAUAUUGCAUAAAAGGUUGUAUUGAAAAACAUGGAUCAUCAUCACACACACUCUCUUUGCCUAAACAUUCGAACAGAAAUAAAGAGUAAAAGACAAGAAACCUAUUGACUAAUACUCCUACUACUACUACUUACUUCACAAGUGGGUUUUUAUUUAUAUCGUGGACAGCUUUUGUUUAUGGGACCAUAUAUAUAAUCUUCAAUUUGAUCCAAAAUUUCCGAUUAAUCAUUAAUAUUCUCUGAUCCUCGCCAGCUUCUUCAAUUAGAAAACAAACUUUCUACUUAUAACAAUUUUCAUAUAGGCCCUUACUCUUAUUAUAAUUUAACUAAUCAAACACAUGAUUCACUUUUCCUAUAAGAAAUAAAGAGAUCAAUAUGCGAAUCCUCAAUAACUAUGAGGGUUAAUUAUCAAAUAACUAUGCACAUAAUAAUGUUUACAAAACUUUAGUAUUAAAGUAGUAUUUUCUAGGUGGAGGAAGGAGAGAAUCACAAUAUUUUUUCCAGAGAGAAAAUCACGGAAACCGAUGUAGAUUCUCUAACUCAUAUCUCCUCCAGCCUCCAGGUAGUUCAUAUACUUUAUACACUCUAUAAAAUAAAAGAGUCAGAAAAAUCUAAAGAAAGCUAAAAACAUGGAGAUUUUCUUGGUUUUUCUUUAAAUUUCCCACGACUUUUCUCACUGCGCAAGAAGAGCCUAUUUCUUCUCUCAAGAUCUUUAUUUGUUUUCCUUCAAAUCAUCUCUCUCUCUCUCAUUCUGAAAAAAAAAAAAAAACAAUGUGUAGCAACAACAACAACAACACAAGUAGUGGAAGCUAUGGAGAGUUACAUGAUGAGUACCAUGGUUCUUGUCGGAAGAAACAGAAGAAGAACAAAGUACGACGAAGAGGACCUGGUGUAGCCGAACUAGAGAAGAUCCGUCUUCAAGAAGAGCACAAAUCUCCUCUUUCUUCUUCAUUACAAAACAUGGAUCAUCAUCGGACUCUCUUUGCUCCGUCUUCCUAUGAUUUAGCGAUGAUUCCUCCAAACUUUGCUUUGCCGGAGAAACUGCCGUCGUUCCCGGCUUUUCCGUUCUCGUACGGAUCUUGUAUUCCUCCGGCGCCGGUUUUUCAGAGGAACCAACAACAUUCUCUAACGGUAAGAAGAGUUUGAUUCUUAUGAUUAAUCUCUAUCGCUAAUUAUGUCACAAAUACUUCUUCUUUUUCUGUUAAAGAUGUUACAAAAUAUCACAAAUGAAAUUUAUAACAUUUUAUUACUAUAUUUCAUAUGAUUUUUGCAGAUGAAUAUUCCGAAUCCAUCUCUAGGAGGAGAAGGAGGAAUUUAUCAAUUCAUAGAGCCCCCUUCAAACCAAAGAUCUUGCGUCGAUUCUGUCUCUCAGUUUCUUGAGGAAGAAAAUAAAACGGCAUGUUUUUAUUAUCUUUUUCCAUAAAUUUUAAAUAAAUAAAAAAUGUAACGUUUUCUAAUGUUUUUGAUUUGUUUCUUUGAUGAUAUUUUUCCAUAGAUGGUCAGUGCGAAGAAGAGGCCAUGGCAUUUUCUUACUGACACCACGGAGCCUAGAGUUGGACCAACCAAAACAACUAUUUUGAGGUUUUUUGUUGUUUUUUUUUUUUUGGCUUCGGCUCAUUUUCUUGAUAUAUACUACCAAAAAUCUAAUAUUGAAUGUGCAUGUCUUAAGGGAGCCGAUACGAAACCGGUCGCUGGGUCUACGUCCGGUUCAAGAUUCUGGUACAACAAUUAGCAACCCCAUCGCCAUUGAUUCACCUACCUCCUCCAUUCCAAGCUUUCCUCGUCAUUACCCGAGGUUUAUCCCACUUGGCUUACAGCUACAGGUAACUAAACUAGAGAGAUCUUCCUAUUAUAAUUUUUGCUAUAUAUUGUAUAUCAUAGUUUGAUGAAGUUUCUUAGACCGGUACAUCAAAUUAUUUUGGUUAUAGUAUGAACAACAACAAAAGGAGUUUGAUGAGAAUAUGCAAUGGAGAAGUAAGGAGCCGUUCUAUAGCUUCAUACCCUCUGAAGAUCGGAGCAAUGCUGACCAAGAACGACAACCCUGUGACCGGUAUGAAUCAGCCGUUGAUCAUGGAAUCGAUCUCAGCCUUAAGCUAUAGUGAUUUUAGAAACAACUUUAGUCUUAUAAUUAUGUAGCUUUUGAUAUAUCAGUUAACUUCUCCUUAACUCUAUUAGUUUGUCAUUCAUGGACCAACCAAGACUUGUUGCUAGAAGGUUUGUUUGUAAGACUGAAAAGUCUUAGUAAAAUCUCUCACCUGAGUUCCUAAUAACAACUACUAGUGUUGCUAACAAUAAUAGUAUAAAGAGAUAUAAGCUCUGAGAAUAUGAUUAUUGCCAAAAACGAAGCAGUUCACUUACCCAUACAUAAACAGAACAAAACCAAUUGUUUCUUGAAUUUUUUUUUUUUUUGAAAUAGGUGUUUCUUGAAAUAUUGGUUUAGUUGUCUAUGCAAGUGGAUAUGAACUUCAGAUAUGAGCUCAGACAUCACCAUGAUCCAAGAUUUAAUUAUGGUUUAGGAAAAAACAGGAUUCUAAGCCUAAUCAUGGUUCAUAUAAUGUGAAAAACAGAGUUUAACCAAAGGAACAUGGCCUUUAUUAAGCUCUCAUCCACAAUAUGAAAAUGGAAAAGCACUUUUGGAAUUGAUAAGACUUGUAAGUCUGAUAAUAGCUAAAAGGUGAAAGCUUAGCUUUGACCCCUAAGAUGAAAAUGAAUAUAGAUAAGGACAAGAGAGAAGAUAUACAUAGCAAAGGCCAAUACACAGAUCCAGAACGGAUAAGUCGAUCUCACAUAAGCCGGUAAACCAAUUGCCAUGCCUAUUACCACAACAAGAAGAGCUUCUAUUGAGUAGUCCCAUUUCAAUCCUUUUGAGUAUACAAUCGCCAAUGUUAUCGACAUUCCCAUCAGAUUGUUCAUUGUAACAUCCCUGUAGAUCUGCAGAACCCCCACAGUCAAAAAGCUCUUAAAGAUUGAGUUCUACAUCAAUGUAAUGUAAUAAAGAAAGUGUAGUAGGAAGUACACUAACCUCAGAGAACUUUUCAGAUGCGAUUCUUGCUUUGUCUUUCUUUCGACAGAAGUGUGCUGAUAGAGUGUUCUUUAAGUUUCUAACCAAAGGGAUCACUGCAAACACCGUGUAGAAAGAAGGAACUCCAGCUGAAACCGAUAAGAGUCCAAUGUUUACCAUAAACGGUUUUGCAAGAAAGACUACAAUUAGCAUCCCUCCGACGACUUUAAUCACAGCUCUUAAGGUUCUCAUGGAGAGGAAUUUAGCAACAAGAGUUUUCUUUGGCAUUUCCAGUUUUAAAACUGCAGCUUCCUCGCCCUGCGACAAGUUCUUGACAUGCAGAGAAUCGGAGGCUGAUCUGUAAAUGUAUGUAUUGUUCUGUCUUGGAGUUUCUUGGUUAUCAAAUUUGUAUUGAUUCAGUAGCUUCAUUAUCCCUUCUUCGAAUUCGUUCUCGUCUAAUUCGCCAUUUUUGUCUUUGUCGAACUCUGCAAGCAAAGUGCUUGCAAACUCAUUAAUGUCACAUUUCAUCUUUCCAAAAACUCCAAACUCGACUGUUAAGUCUUUGAGCUCUGAGAUUUGAAUCUUUCCAUCUUUGUUCCUAUCGAUUUUAUCGAACAAACUACAAAAAAAAAGUAGUAAACUUGCAAUGUAAGAAAGCAGAAAACAGAGCAAACUGCAAUAGUUCUUGACGAAGAUAAAACAGAAUAGAACCUUUUCAAGCUUUCUUUACUUAGCUGUCCAUCUCUAAUAAGUGUUUGAGGCGAAAAGCUCUGCAAAUGCUUAUGAACUUCCGACAUGAGCUCAAACUUGGCAUGAUCUAAGCUCUUCCUUUGGUCUGCCGUAUCAAAAUACUGUGAGAUUCCACAAAACAAAUUCACUUGUAAGAAAACAAAGCAAAUCAGUUGUAAGCAUUUAGCAUUUAAGUCUUGUUUCAGAGAGCUCAUACCGAGUAAACAAAGUAAAUAAUGGUUGAAGAACAUGAGAUUAUGAGUGUGAUCAGCAUAAUGAUGUCACUCCAAGGUUGAGCAUCAAGUAAAUCAGGCAAUGUCACCAAGAAAAAUGGAAUUAGAGUCAGAAGCAUAACCCCUGCAGCUUUCUUGUUCUUAGGAUCCGCAUCUACGCUUGUUUCUGCAGAUAGCGAGAAACCGAAAAAUGAAACAGGCUUCACACAAGAAGAGAAUAAAUCUACAAGUCUUGUUAACAUACCAACAACACUUUUCAGUAUCUUCGUCCUGUAAAACCCCCUUCUUGGAUUUUUUGUAUCCUAUAUAUCAAAAGAUCAUAUUUAUUAAAAUAAGAACUUGUUAUUAAAAUCUUAUAAUACUAAACAGAUUAGGACAAAUGAAUCUUUUCUUACUGAGGUUGUUCUCUUGAUGGAUGUUCCUCUUCUGAUUGACGGAUCUGGAUUAGGACUGGUCAAACCAAAGACAACACAAGCUCCCCAUUGCAUUGUCAGAGCAAAUAUUGUGUGUCCAAAAGUCACUCCAACGUUGUUCCCCACAAUCAUGAGAGCACCUUCGUGGGUCGCUGCUAGUCCUGGUGCUAAAUAUCAAAUAUCAAAAAGUACGGUAAGAUUGUCAAAUUUUAUAGCAAAUGAAGUAAUCUUUAAGAUGAUAUUAUAACAUAAAAGUUUUCAACUCAUUUAUUAGUGGAAAGGAUCCUUACAUAUCAUAAGGGCAAUUCUUGGGAACAUUGUAAGGAGAGGGAAAACGAUACCACCAUAGAACCCGACCUCAAAGAUUACAAAAAGUUUUGAUCUUCCUUCAGACAAGAAAUAGUCACCAAUGAUCAAGAGACAACCAAAGGAGAAAACUUGGAAGACAUAGCCUCCAAUAUUGUCUGCACAUGGAAGGAACCCAUAGACAUGAGUGCAAGCUGCCUUGGCGACGUUCUUUUGAGGAUCGAGAGUGAGAAACUUGUCAUCCGAGGCGUCAUGGACUCCAUCAGAGAUCAAUAUGGGGUUAUUUAGAGGGACUGGACUUAAGACACGAGAGCUCACACCAGAGACGAUCAGAGCUAAAGAGAAAAUGAAAAAAAAGAAAGCUAAUGGGGAAUGUAGGUGGAUAGGUCUCCUCUUGAAUGUGAAUGUUUGCAUGUGAGCUAUUCAGAGUGUUGUUAAGUGACUGAGCUUAAUGAGAGACGAGAAGAAAAGAGUCCCAAUUUCAGAAAUGGCAACUGUUCUUACAAAAAUUUGUUGCUUAUAUAAUCGAGAUCUACAAAACCAUUUUAAUAUUUUAUACUGACGGACUCACCCAAUAUGGGAUACUUAAUAAUCAUUAUUUACUUGUUAUUUAAUAAUAAAAUGUUUGUUUAUUGUGAAAAUAUAAAAAAGCAAAAAACAAAAAAAAAAUUCUUUGUUAAAAUUAAGAAGUACUUCAAAAAUAUUUGUUGUGACUUUCCAAAGUCAAUUGUACAAUUUGACAAAAAUAAAAUUAAGAACAACGUGCAAAUCGCAUUUCUUUUUUGUUGCUAAGAAUGCAAAUCACAUUUCUCCAUGCACAAAUGGGCACGAUCACGUGAGUUUGCGUAUUUUUCCAUCACCAAAUUCUAUUUUAAAAGUUUAUAAAGACAGGUUUUAUGUGUUUUACAUAAUUAACUAAGCUAUGGUCUAUAACAUUACAUUUUGUCAUUAUGACCAAAUGAAUUUGGUAGAUCCAAUCGUGUUCAAUAAUUAUCAAAGUUUUACAAAUUAAGAAGCAAAUGUAUUUUCUUGGAAUAUUAAAAUUUUUGGAUAAAUGUGGAUAUGUAUAGAAUUUGGCCGAACAUCCAGAUUUUAAAAGUUACCUCAACAACAAAUGACCAGUUUGAUUACAAAACAGACAUAUAUAUAAAAAAUGAGUACUAGGCACAUAUACCAUAAAAAAAAGUUUAUAAUAUCUUCUCCUCAUUCACUCGAAAACAUCCAAAGAGCUUUGUAUUUAUAAUCCUUUUAUCUCUUCUUGACUUCUUAUCGAUCCAUUUAUCCUGAUCACAAUACAUUCAUAAAAUUACAUCAAAUAUGGGUAGUUCCAACAUUAGGUUAAAUCAAAGUUGUGGAACUUCUGACACUAUUGAUAUGUUAUUUUAAUACAGAUACGUUUUACGUGGACAUGAACAGGUGUUAUACAGUUGUCCUCUGCUCUACAUUUUUAUUAAAUGUGUUGGGAGACACAAUGUGACUUUAUUUUAUCGAAACUUUGAAACUCGGAGCAGAACUAAUUUGACCCCAUCAGACCAAAAGUUUUAAAUACUACUCUCUUAUGCACUUCGCUCAAGUUGUAUGUAAUAUUAUUGGACUGAUGUAAGCGUAGAAUGCAAGUUGUUAUAUUAUUACAUUAGAAAAAACAAGAAAUAAUAUUAUCAAGAUACUAAGAUAUUGCUGCCGGAUCACGUCAAAAGAUAAUAAAGAUAGUGCUGCCGGAUCAACUUACGCAGUAGUAUGAUAUAUUAAUGUUUGCAGGGUACGGUCAUUUGUUGGACCAAUAAGAUUGAAUCUUCAGAGUGAAAUUUGCCAAAUCCACAUGAUCUCAAAGCAAGCAAUGCUACACUCUUUUUUUCUUUUCGAAAUCAACGAAUAACAUAUGAUAAGUUUCUUAUAAUUAGUAGUUCUUAAAUCCACAAAGACAUGAGAAUUUUCGACACACUUUCUAAAAAGUAUAAAAAGACUGAAAAUGUGUCCAUGUUAAAGAAAAUAUAUUCAUUUGGAAGAAUUUUCGUUUGAAGGAAACGAAGUUGUUUUCAUAGGUUUUAUUGGAGAGAAGAAUUAUCAGCAACAAUGACUACCGACGACAUUACUAUUUAAAAUGUUACUACAUCACCCUCAGUCUUACCUAAUGUUAGUUCUUGUCUAGAAAAUGAAAAUGAAAAUGGAGUUAGAUAAGAAGUAGAUAGCAAAGGCCAAUACACACAUCCAGAACGGGUAAGUCGAUCCCACAUAGACCGGUAAGCCUAUUACUAGGCCAAUGAUCACCUAUAAAGAGCUUCUACUGAGUAAUUCCAUGUCAAUCUAUUCCCUAGUGUAAAUUGCCAAUAUGAUUGAAAUACUUUGGUAAGCCAUUUUGGACAAGAAACAGUGUGCUUACCGAAGGAAAAGACUUGGAACAUAAUAAUUAAGGUCAUCAUUAAAAUGCUCGAAUUUUGUUUUGACUUGAUGAAAUGAAUAACAGAGAUUCUAAUUCAAAUUUCUCCAUCCAUAGUAAACAGAGAAGAAAAAAACACACAAAGUCUAUUCUGAUAUGAGAAGUCUCCAAACUCUACCAUGUACCGAAACCAAAACUUGUCCUGACAAAGACAUACAAAUAAAAGAAAACAGAAACACAGUUAUGGAAUCCUCUCACGGAAGCUUCUAAUUACCAGCGACCUCUUCCUUGUCCUCUUCCUCUACCACCUCCGCGUCUUCCCCCCCAAUUUCGGUUUCCCCCUCUACCAGCACCAUAUGAUGAUAUUCCCUCAAAGGCCUUGUUCACAAGCUGGCUUUGCAUAGCACCUGAACCACGUCCCUUCUUUGCUGAAACAUUGUUACCACUUCCAUUGCUGCUAUUAGCAGGCCGCUUUGCUCUGUAAAUAAUUAUUGCAGGUAAAACAAAUUACAAACAGAUACAAGACAACUGAAAGUUUGGAUUGAGUAAAAGUGACAACAAACCCGAUUGUUGCUGUUGUUGAGGCUAACGGCUUUGUUGCUUCUUUCCAAGAAAGGUUGAGAUUAGUGUCUCCGAUAAAAGGAGGCACUUUUGCAUGCAAUGGCUGUUUCAUAUCAUCAUAUUUCGCCAGGUUUGAUUAUAUCAUCAAAAUUAUAUACUUCUACCAAAACAAAAGAAAAAAGAAGGGGAAAGACAAGAUGUUGUGAUGUUCACCUUUGUCAUUGCCAAUAUGUUAUUACAGGUCCUAAGUCCAGUUGUAGUAUUCAGCUUCUUUGUUUUCUGAAAUAAUAAAAACCACAAAGGUGUAUUAGUCCUGAAAGUAAAUAGCACUGGGAAAAAAGAAGGGUGUUACAGGUCUAUGUACUUACAAUGCUUGCCUUCUCUUCAUCUGUCUUAGCAGCUGACAUGGCUUUGUUGUGCUCAGUCAUUCCCUGAGUUAAUUUCUUCAUUGUUGCCUUGGUUAGAUCUUCAACAACGGUCAAUCUGCACAAAUGGUUGGCAAAUCACAGAAACAUAAAUAUUUUAUUAAAUCAUAAGAAAAUACCAAGAACUCUUCUACCUCUUCUUACUCUGGAUUAUCAAAAUUUGUGUACUCUAAACAACAACGGUAUACUGAAGUUUUAACGUGCAAAAUUUGGAUGCCAUAUCAAAUUAAUAACAAUACCUCUCAGUGAAGUCUUUAUUCAACUCUGAGAAGUCCUCCCCCAAUCUGUCUGAUGGCUGGCCAGUCACAAUCUUGUACCCGCACAAGCUGUUUGUAGCAUUUGGAACCUAUAUAUGUUCAACAUUAUCAGCUGAGUAAAACAAGGAAGAGCAAAAACGGAAAGGGAUGAAUCACAAAUAAGAUAUAUUUGGUAACCUUGUGGGCAAGGUGAUGAAAGGCAUACAACAAACACUCCACGUAUGUGAAGUUCAUUUCCUCUCCAGUCUUUCUGGCAGGCAUAUAUAUCUAAAAGCAAAGAGUUUGAAAAACUUUAGAAGAUCGCAAGUAAAGCUUUUACAUUCAAAAGUGCAAGGCUGCAGUAAGAUAUACAAUAUAAGCAAGACUGACCACAAACCAAUUCUGAAAGGAAUCAUUACACACUGGCACUUAAAAGAGGUACCUUCAAAAGCUGAACGAUUGAAGGAAGCAGCUGCCUUGCUUCCUGAGCAGUUGUGUAUGGAGAAAUAUCAGCAAGAGCUUUGAGCAAAUCAAGUUUCCUCUCUUCUGGUAGCUAGUUAAGAAACAAUAAUUUGGAGUUAGUAUGGUGGCCAAGAAUGCUCCUCUUUUGGGGAGAUACGGAUAUUUACAUGCAAGAACGCAAAAGAGUAACAAGCAGAAAAUACCUAGAAGUAUGGAUUAAAUAAACCUUACAGGAAACUAGCAUUUUACUUCAUACCAUUAGUGUCAGAAUUUAUUCUUAAGAGCAUAUAACAGAUGCCCCAAAGAGCACACAGGUAUCAUGUGCUGAUAUAAACACAAGUAUGGAAUAACAAAGCAAUGAAAUCCAAGAUACCUUGUCAAAAACAGGCAUAAUAUGUAUGUUCAAAUAGUUCAGAAACUUGCUGCUUGGAGCACCUCUCUGUUCAAAAGAGAAAAAAGUUAGUAAGAUAACCAGUCAAGUUUAUAGAAUGGGCUCUGCCAGGUAGUAGCAGCACUUAUUCCAAGUUCGUACCGCGAAAAAGGGAAGGGCCAGUUGCAGGCAUGAUAUCAACCUGUCAAUAUGGUCUGUAUCUGAAACCUGGGAAAAACGAUAUUUAUAAUCAGGAAUAAUACCACAAUACAAGGAUAAUCUCAUCUAAAUUUGGCGGAAACCUUAUACUUCGAACUAUUUAUACUCACCAUAUGGCAUACUGGAAAAUCUAAGCUGGAGUGUUUUCAUGGUAAAUUGACCAGACACAAUCAAGUUUGUAUAACUCACUAUGAUCAUACUAUCAGAUUAAAAAUUUUGUGCAUUUCCUUGCACUCAACCUAGGACCAGCGAAUAUGCUGGAGUUCAAGGAACAAUAACAACACUCUAGAGAAACAAUGCAGACGGUGGUACAUCUUUUUAAGCUUUUUUUCAGUAGGAUGGAGUUUGUACAAGGCUGAACAUACACUACUGCCACAGAACAUGUCAAACUGAAUAAUGAUAUGCAACUAAAAAGAACAUAGAUACACAGCGGGUUAACUAGUAGUAUCAAUUCAAGCAAUCAAGAAAUUUAGGUUCAUCUUCGUGAUGAUACAACACAACCAACUACCGCAAUGAUGCAACACAACCAACUACCACCAAACUGAACAAUGCAAUACAACAAACUUACUUCAAAUUGCGCAUUUAAAUCCGCCUGUCCUUCGAUAAUUUCCACAAGUUCUUGCAUUCUUUCUUGAGGAGCUUUGCCACCAAAUAUACUCAAACUCGUCAGGAAAUCCAUAAACAUUUUAAACUCUCCUCCAGUUACAUCUUCUAAGCUCUACGAAAUCCAAAUAAAGUUGAGAAUAAAUGACAAAGAAGAAGGCAGAUGAAAGAAGCAAAAGGAACUGCAUACACACAAGAUAUUGGUCUUACCUGUUUGAUCAAAUCUGUUAUAUGUCUUUCCAUCUCCUCUUGAGGCUUUAAAAGUUCCCCUUUAAGAGGAAACACCUACAUAUAAAUUAAAAUAAAAAGAUAUAUAAUGAAUAUAGGCAUAUGGUAUUACAAACCUCUCAAAAUGAUUCUCAUUUCUACUAGUAAUAGAUAUCAAUACCAUUAUCACAUUUUCAUAUCACUUCUUCUGUUAUUGGUUAAGGAAACUUCUUUCAAAUCAUAAACAAUGUCAAGGAGGAGACUUAACUAAACAUGCACUAGAUCAGCCAUUUUAGUUGAUUAAGCAGAGUUUGUACAUCUUGAAACUGAACCAAAAUAUAGUAAUACAAAAUGCAUGUCUACUUUACUGGUCUAAAUCUACAAGAGAAAAAUCCCAAUUGGUCUAACUUAGUAGAAACAAUGAGAUAUGAAUAUCAAAAACUAAGUCACUUAACGCUGUUCUGGGAACCUUGCAAAUAGCAAAAAGCCAUUGAUAAACUCUGACCUUAUCUCUGACGAAAUUCAAGACCUUCUCACGAAUCUGAUCAUCAGUUGUUGGAGUAACCCCAGCAUGUGUGAAUAAGGCAGUGGAAGAUGCUGUAACACAAGAAAGUAAUAAUUAGAAAACACUAGAGAAACUGCAGAUUCAAUGGUGAUAUCAUGUUGAAAUUCUAAGAAACUUUAGCAGACUACAACCCAGAGCAAGUAGUUCAUUCAUUUAAACCUAUGCCUGAUCAUGAUCUACUGUGUACAUAAUUUAAGCUGAAUCAGUAUCUUCAUACAGAAAAAACUUAAAACUGUAACAGUACCUUUUGGAUCUUGUCGAAACAAUGACAUCAGAGCCUUAUGCACAGCAUCACGCUCCACAGGUUCCUCUUAAAAUCAUGAUACCUCCCAAGUCAGAUGAGAAAGAAACGCAAAUAUGUAUAUAGAAGGAGUAGUAACAUAAAUCUCAAGAGUUACCAGUACUCAAAAGUUGCACAAGAACAUCAACAAUCUUCGAUAUAAUCUCAGGUGUAUCCUUACAGAAAAGCGGGAGUCCGCGGAUGGCUUGCACACGUACCUACACACAAAAAGAAACACAUGUUUAACUCAAACCAAAGAAUAAAUUCCACAAUGAUACAAGACUAAAAAUUGUGCAUAGAAAAGUCAUGAUUCUCUGGAAAAGCCAGAAGUACUAAGCAUGUGUUGUUUCAGUAUAAACUGCAUCUGUACGAAGACAAGGUACAUACCCCAAGGUCUCCAUCAUCAAUACAGUCCAUAUGCGCAUCGAAAGCCUCAGUAGAGAGACUAGGGAAGAACUUGAAGUAGCGUGGAAUUAGCUGCGACGCAAGCUGCUUUGCCUUCAUACUAGUCUUGGACAUCUUGAUAAUCCCCUCAUAAUCCCCAACAUUCUACAAACCGAGAAAACAAAAUCAAGUAGAGUAAUUAAGAAACUGGAAAAUUGGAACAACUGCAAACUUAGACCAGCCUAACUCGAAUCCAUUUACAUUUUUCGGACUAACCUAACUCGAAUCCGAAGCAAAACAUUUUUGCUUAAAUACAUAAUCCGGAGACUAAAUAGGGAAUGCUCAAUUUCAAAUUUCAAACCCUAGGUGAAAAAUUGAGACGAACCUGAGACUUGUCCUUGGAGGCAUUGAGGCGCUCACUGAACUCAUAGAGCUUCUCGAUCUGCUGAACUUCUUCGGACUGGUUCUCUGACAUUACGGAGGAAGCUGAAGAGCGAGAAAAACUGAAGCAGAUGAGUAUAAUAUAAACACAUAGUUGAAAAAGCUAUACAUAAUCACGUCUCUGUAACAUAUGAUAGGGAAAAGGCGGGAGAAAGAUGAAGAAGAAGGUUACGAGCGUACAUGUUGGGUUUGGAAGAAGACUGUAGAAAGAUUUUGAGUUUUUCUCCGAGUGUUUUGAGAUUUUGAGUUUUUUCUUAGCUUCCUUAGCUUGAAGAAGAAGAGCGAAGCGAGCUUAAUUAACAAGCCUCGUUGUUGGGCCAAAAUAUUUAAAACGGUGUCGUUUCAUAUUUGUAAAACUUGAGGAACGACACUCAAAUUUAUUGAUCUUUCAAAUUCACCCCGGAAUUAGUUUGAAGAUAUAAUCCACCUGAAGUAGAACAUCUAUCAGUCUAUCACUUAUACGAUUUGAAAAACGAAUUUUGAUGCCUAUUUUACUCACAAUUGUUUAUUCAAGAACAAAAUCUCUCAAAUCUGGUAUUUGGCACAAGAGAAGUAUCCAACCCAAACUCAUUUGGUUAUGGACAAAAAGUCUUAUUACCUUACAAAAGCAAUUCUCUAAUACAAGGAGUGUCUCAAGAACACAAAAAAAGAAAAAGUUUGUUUCUCCCGAUUUAGCAAAAUCACAGAACAGGCAUAUCCAGAGCUUGUAGCACAUCUUUGAACUCAAAAUCAUGAGUAUGCUUAUUGAACCGCUCGAGCAGCUUGUACCGAGAGUCAUUCAAGUAAAACGACUGAGCUGUCUCCAUGAUCCAUUUCGCCUCUUCGUCAGUGAGUUUGCUUGUGAACACAACAUCUCCUCGGAUAAACACCAAGUCCUUUGUCUCUGAAAGCUCGGUGUAGAAGGUGGUAGUCAGAUAAGGAGCCGCUUGAGUUCCUCUUGCUUUGUAGUCUUCGAGACCAGUGAAAAUCAUAUGAGGCGCUUCAACUGCCACAAUAAAACUGACCAUUUAUAUAAGAUCAUAAACCAAAGAGCUCUUCGUUUUCCUACAAACUUAACUCGCUCACAUAAUGGUACAUCUAACAAAAUUCAGCCUCACAUACGAGAAAGUAAAAAAAUUGUCCUUGAGAUCAAAAUGGUCCUGAAUGUUCAUAGCUAAUCUGACUACUUCAAUCGAACUGUAUUAUAAAAGCUACCACAAACCUUGAGCAAACUAAAUCAUGUAAGCAUUUCAUAUAAAUUUCUCACCAGGGCAUGAAAGAUAUCAAAUGGAGGACUAAAUGGUACAUCUAGCCUCACAUAACAGUUCUUGAGAUCAGUGGCUUGCUAAUUUCUAAAAGCUAAUCUCACUAACUUGAUCGACUCCCUGGUAAAAGCUAUCACAAAACUAGAGUAAAAAUUUUGUUCAAAAUAACAAAAAAAAAAAAAAAAAACUAGAGUAAAAAUUAUGUAACCAAAUUUCCAAGAAAUAAAAGAUAGAUCAUGGAGGAUUAGAGUUUAAACCUUGAGCAAACAUAGUAAUGUAACCAUUUCCUCUCCACAAUGGAAUCACAAAGUAUCGGCUGCAAUUGCAAUAUCAUCAAUUAGAAGAAGAUCAAAAUGUAUACAAGAGCAAGGCUAAUGAUAUUGUUAAUACCAUUCGGAUGCUCGUUGCUCCAACAAUCUAUAAAGCUGAGCUUUCAUCGUUAUCCCAAUAUGACCUCGUCCCAAGUGAUACUAACAAAAACGAAAAUGAAGUAAGAUCCAACGAAAUGCAAUUGAAAGACGCAAACACACAUCAAAAAAAAGAAGGAAUUUUUAGAGUGUUUGAAAUUACAUCGUCCCAGAUGGAAGUGAGUUCUUCCGGAGAUUUAGUUUUGGCUCUGGCCAAAUCCAUGAUUGAAUCCAAAGGUUUCGGCUGCAACGGAGUAAACCCAGAUGCGAAUCUCGAAUUCCUAACUGAACCAAGCGAAGCCCAUUUUAGAUGGUUUCCAGGUAGAGCUUCUGAGAGCUUGCUUCCAGCAUCUCGUUGCCAAGAAGAUGAACGCGCCGUGAAAAUUUGUCUAUACGAAGAAGAAGAUGAAGAGAGUUUAUCUUUAGCCAGACUCGAAAUAGAACCAACGAUAUUUCUCAAUUUCAUGGUCGGAAUACGGUGAAUUCAAAGAAAUGAUGAAGAUUAGCAAAGUUUCUCAGGGAUUCUCACAGGAAUACUGUCGAACACGUUGUAUGCUAAUAGAUCUAAUCCUCCACAACAACAAAAAUUUAGGAACAUUAGUUUAGAACCCUAACGGUUCGUAACUCCGUGGGGUUUAACUUGGUUCGAUCGGUCGGACCGGAUUUAAGAAAUUUCGCUUCUUUUUUGAACCAAAUUUUUAAUCAAUUAAUAAAGCAAAUUGUUUUUACUUACAAGUUAAAACAAAAAAUUCGCGGAAACUCAUUAUCUUAUCAAAGUAAACUAUAAAAACAAGUACGAUUUUGCAGGAUUUUAGAUCUAAUAAUAUAAAAGCUUCAAUAAGAAAAACAAAAAAUGAUCCGAUCACAAUGUUGUUUUUUUAGUCAAAGCAGACUCUUUGCCACAAUGUUUUCUCGUUAGCCCGUGAGUAUUUGGAAUCUUUUCUCUUAGCAUGGUCAAAUGUAAUAUGUAUCAUCUAUCAAUCUCUCGUCUCUCAAUCCUAAUUCUAAACUAAGACGAAGACUAAAAUUAGAUUCAUUGAGGCCUUUUAACCAAAAAAAUAUAUAAUAAUAAGAUCAGCUGAUUCUGUUUGGUGUUAACUUAGUUUAAAGACUUUCUCAACCAAGAAACCCCUAGCUAAUCCCUCAAACGAAAAAUAUAAAUGAAUAGAAUCCCCAAAUUAUCGUUACAUUGAUCCAGACAGUUUAUUACUGUAUAAUAGAUCAAACGAUCGUCUUGAAUGCAAACAUCGCUACAAACACUAAAUCUUGACAGUCAUGAGUUAUAUUAAUUAUACUAACACAUAAAACAAAACAAAAACGUACGAUAUAGAUCAGAGGUAAUCACGGGACAACAACACCUACCAAUAUUAAAUAUUUUACAGAAUUAUAUUUAUUCCAUCCAUUUAACAAAUUACAUGAUCGCAUUAUAAAUCCUUUUUUUUUUAAAUGGUGUAACACUCACUGCAACACAUUAUCACGCAUUCAACUAAAAAAGAUCGAGAAGGUUAUUUUCUUUUUGUCGGUAAAGAUCUAUAAAGUAGUAAAAUCAGCCAUGAUUGCUUCCACAAAUUUUAAGUGAAUAACACAGAAAAUAAAAAUAAAAUGAGAUCUUAUAACACAUGUUUCACAAAUUUUCCCAACGCACUAAGGGCAAAAUAUAUAUCUCUUUCUCCUCCCACACACAAAACAUAUCUGUGUGUUUUAUAAUAUAAAUCAACUUGUUUGUCACUUAUAUGAGAUUUGACUUAGGUUGUUUCUUUUGUCACUAAUGUAAAACAGUACAAAAAACUGUAAACUAUUUAUUAGUUUGUCCAGACUCACGCAGAGAGUAUCUCACAACCCCACCAUGCAUGUCCUAUCUCUUUUUUUAUCCGCAAUAUUCUUUUUUCUCUUCCUCACAUCAACCAUUUCUAAGCCAACAACCUCUCAGUCUCGGCCUCCUCCGGCACUGCGACGCCUCCACCACAGAGACCUCUCCGUCGAUUACUACUCCAAGAAAUGUCCUCAGCUCGAAAAUCUCGUCGGUUCCAUCACUUCUCAGCGUUUCAAAGAAGUUCCCAUCUCAGCUCCAGCCACCAUUCGCCUCUUCUUCCACGACUGCUUCGUUGAGGUCCAAUUUUUUAUAACCGAAACUGAAAUCUUGCAUUCUUCUUCUUAGGUACGAUCGAUAGAUGAACUUACAUUUUUUAGCAUUACUAAGUUGUACAAUUAAAACAAGCACCAUCUCAGUAGUCAUUAUACCGCAGUAAUAAUUGGAAAGUUAAAACCACCAAUCUGGAACAUAAUCCCGACAAAUGUUUCACGGGUUCGGUUUCCAACGUAGCGCAUUUUAGCAAACAACAGUCAAGUCUCGGUGUAUUUUAGCAAACAAACUCAACAGUGUUUUGGUCUUCAUACUACAUGUGCUGUUUGUUUAACAUAAUGACAAUAGACAUCUCAUGCAUGCAAACUGGUUAUUUAUUAUCCACUGAUGAUCAACAUAAGUUGAAAUUGAUUUUUUUGAAGGGGUGUGAUGGGUCGAUAUUGAUAGAAACAAAGAAAGGAAGCAAGAAAUUAGCAGAAAGAGACGCGUAUGAGAAUAAAGAAUUAAGAGAAGAAGGAUUUGAGAGUAUCAUCAAGGCCAAGGCAUUGGUUGAGUCUCAUUGCCCUUCUCUCGUCUCUUGUUCUGAUAUUCUCGCUAUUGCCGCUCGAGACUUCAUCCACCUGGUAUAAAUCCCAACUUUACUCCUACUAACCGGGUUUUCAUAAUUGUAAAUUUGUAACCAUAUUUGUCCACUGUCCAAAUCGGUCUUGGUCUCAUGGAUAGUUUAAGCUAAAUCAAAACUGAUUUUUUAGACAUAAUUAAGUGUAAUAAACCAAAGCGUAUUGUAUCCACAGUCCAUUAUGGUUUGGUGAAUGUACUGUAUAAUAGAUUAGAUGUGUCAUUGACUAAUGUUUUGUUUUGGUUCCAAAUAGGCAGGUGGACCUUACUAUCAAGUGAAAAAAGGAAGAUGGGACGGAAAAAGAUCAACGGCCACGAACGUUUCUCCAAACAUACCUCGAUCAAACUCAACCGUCGAUCAACUCAUCAAGCUCUUCGCGUCCAAAGGACUCACCGUAGAGGAACUUGUCGUCCUUUCCGGGUCUCACACCAUCGGCUUCGCCCAUUGUAAAAAUUUCGUUGGUCGUCUCUACAACUUCAAAGGCACAAAACUACCCGACCCGACUCUCGACCCGAGAUUGCUCAAGGAGCUCCGUAUGUCGUGCCCUUUUUCCGGCGGUAGCUCCGGCGUCAUCCUCCCGCUCGACGCUACAACUCCGUUUGUGUUUGACAAUGGAUAUUUCACAGGACUAGGAAGUAAGAUGGGCCUUCUCGAGUCGGACCAAGCCAUUUUCCUUGACCCGAGGACGAAGCCCAUUGCACUUGAGAUGGCUAAAGAUAAGCAGAGGUUUCUCAAGGCGUUUGGAGAAGCUAUGGAUAAAAUGGGUUCCAUUGGUGUAAAGAAAGGGAAGAAACAUGGGGAAAUACGAACAGAUUGUCGAGUCUUUUUAUAGAUUUUAAAUUUUACUUUAUUGUUUUGUGUGAAGGUUUUUGUCUUGAUCUUGAUGUGUUUUGUCUUGUGUAUUUUCUUAAUUGUUUUGUUCAUAGAAUAAGGUAUUUUUGGUGAAACAUCACUGAACUUAUCGGGUGUUACGUUAUUCACUUAUUUGUGAAAAAAAAUAUGAUUUAGAUUAUUACUACAUUUGUGUUUUAACAUGAGAAGGUUCAUAAUCACUUUCAAGAUGUUUAACGAAACCAUUUAUAAGUCAGAGUUUGAGUUUAUGAUAGUCUAUCAAAUGCUUCUAUCUAGUUUAUCCAAACCAUUUACAACAGAAUCAACAUAAAUCUGUUAAUUUAUAUUUUCAAAUCAAAUAAACAAGCAAUGGUAUAAAUGUUUGACUCUUAUAUAACUUUUUUUUUUUGUUGCAAAUUUGCAAUCACAAUAGAAGACGAUUAGAUUAUAAUUUCAAAGCCCCUCAAAAGAAAAGAAUAUAAAAACACUUUACAACUUUAUCGUCAUAUCCUGUUUGUAAUCUUCACAUAUAGGUCUCUCCAAGUAAAAUGUCAGUGGUUUCUUUCUCUUUUGUCUUGACUUCCAAGAAUGUAAUAUACAUGCAAGUGUGUAUCGAGUCAAGUUCUUCACAUCGAAAGAGCCGCAUAGAGAAGUUGGUUCCAAGUAUCCGGCAAGCCAGGAAGGCACCAGUGACUACAAUCCGUUCCUCCAUCGCCUCCAUAUGUAGAUGGAUGAGCAUCUUUUCUCAGUUGAGACAGAGUUGUGAUGUCGAGUAAGUAAACGGGAGUUCUCAUCGAGCUCAACACUUGAGACACAAUGCUUGCUGCAGGAAGUGAACCACCUGGAUAUGUUGAUCCGGUCAACGGUUGCAUCUGCCCGUUGCAAGUCUUCCUUGGCUCGUUCCAUUCCCUUCCCCUGUUAAUCAAAGAAAUAAUCUACUUUUAAACCCGCAUUUUUCAAUUUCGUAUAUGUAUUUUAUCAUAUUCGUGUGAUGAACUUACAUGUAGUGAGUGGGAGAAAUGCCUUGGAAGAAAACUCUGGUUUGUGAAAUAUUAACAUUUUGAUCAACCCAUUGACCCCAAGUGGUGAGUCCUUUGUUAAAAGCAUCAAGACGGUCCAUGUCUCUCGUCAGUGAAGAUCCAUCUUUUAUAAAAUCCCACCUGUAAAAACAGAACCAAUAGAAUAAUAAAAGACAAAGGUAAAGUAAGCAUGUCUUAAUCCCAAUUUAGACUACAUGUUUUAAACAUGGUGCAUGAUAGCAUUAAUUGUAAGAAUAUGGUACGGACCCCUGGGACUGUACUCCUUUGUGAGUCCACCAGUGCCAAGAAUUGAAGACGAGGAUGUCCAUGUUUUUCCAAGCAUCAGCACCAUCUUCGAUGGCUCCAAGGUUAAGCACACGUCCUAUACUUUCUUUGGAGAUGUCCACUAGGUACGGUGUUCGGUAUAGGUAUAUUGUCACGUCAUAUUCCUGUUAUUAGUAUCCAAAUAAAAAGGUUUGAGAAAAUUCCUUAGUCUUUUAAUAUAUAGUACAAAAAAUUACUAGAAAACAAAUUUUAGAAGAUUUUGAACAACACGUAGUUUAUUUUUUCACAUAUUUUCUGGUUUAGACGACACAAAUUCAGUGAUUUCGUCAGUAAAACCCAAAUUACAGAGUUAACUCUUUAAAGAAAGUAACAAAUUCAUGGGUCGAGCCUGGUUAUCUAGAUAACAUGUUCUGUACUAUCUAUCUAGUAUCUCUAUAGAGUGUCGCGUGUAGAUGAUGCCAAAAAAAAAACAAAGAAUACAGAAAACAAGUUGGAAUUGUUUAGUGGUUGUCAUGAGCUGUCAGGUCUCUCCUACUUCUUUUUCCUGCUAUGUUCUCAUUUUCUGAUUGUUUCUUUCCUAUGUAACAAUAUUGAUUCAUUUUAUUUAUUAAGGAAGAAAUAAACAAUAUUCAGAAGAGAGAAAUUGCCAAAACCACAAGUCAAAGUUUGAAACAAAGGCACAAGAUAUACGGUGGAGAGAAAAAAUGUAUAUUGGAGGUCACAUAUUUUCCAUAUCGGCUGAUAUUGACACUUUGGUUUCAUGGUUUGAUUGAUAUACUUUGUUUUUCCUCCAAGGGUUUAAUAUUCUAUUAUAUUGAAAUUGAAGAUAUGUUUUUUUCUCAAAGUAACUUUUUCUAAAGAUGAUUGAUAAUAAAGUGAUUGAUAAGCUCAGCAGUUUUAGUAGGAAAAAGAGAGUUGUCAAAUUAACAACAAUGUAUUAAAAAAACUAUUGCCAAAAAAAGUAUAAGGUUUGAUAUUAUUUGUAUAGGAUCAGGCAGACAAAAUCAUAAUAACUUGGAUGUCAAGCAUUUUCACAAAAACAACUUUUACAUUAAAAAAAUCGAAAGCAAAAUUCGACAAGGCAUCCUUUUAGAAUAGCCCGUGACCAACUCGAAUACACAAAAUGACAAGUCGUCCUCGUGAUGAUGAAUUAUUAGAUUUUGUUGUUAUCUAAAGACGCAUGUUAAAAUUUAUAAUAAGAAAGAAAGAGACACAGACCUGGAAAGUGAGAGACGAGAGUGGGGUACGCUUGAGAAAAGUGGUCUUGGUGUUUGGAACCGACGAAUAUAUCAUACACCCCAGCGAUUCCCACAUGUUUAGACUCAGUGAGUCUCCCACGAACAUCACUCGCUUCCCUCUCCAUCUCUUUAGAAACGCUGCCCCAUCAAACCUUAAUUUUAUACACAUUUAGGAUCAUCAUCAUCAUGUCAAAAAAAUGUACGUAUAUAUGUUAGAUGUUUCAUGUUACAUACCUUGGGACGGUGCAUGAAUCAGGCAGCCAAGAGUACUUGAGGAACUGUUUGUCCGGUCGACCAAAUUUGAGACAGUCGAACUCGCCGUCUAUGAAAGGACACGUGGAAGAAUCGUAGAAAGGGUAAGAAGGAUCGAAAACCCAUUUCCCUUGGAACAAGUUACAACCACUCGUCUGUUUCCUCCCUUUCAACACUUCUUUGCCUCCUCCUCGUCCUACCGCGGCGGCCAGCGCUGUUCUGUUGCGUUGGCUCACAUUUGGUUUCUUGUUUGAAGCCAUGGCCUGGUUGGCUUCGGACAAGAUUGUGAGUAUGAGAAGCGAAAGAAUAAGGCAAAGAGAGAUGAGUUUGAAACCCAUCUUGCAAAAGAAAAAAAUGUGUGUGUGUGUGUGUGUGUUUUUUUUUAAUUGGCUUUGUAAUGGAUUCGAGAUUAUAUAUACAUACGUGUAUACUUAUACGUGUAUGUAUAUACAUAUAUAUAAAGUAAUGUGAAGAGAUUCUUGAGUAAUGAUACUCUUGGCCUUAUAUGAAUUCAGUUUAUUACAAAAAUCUAUAUAUAAUGAUAUAAUUUAUUACUCUUAUUUUACCAAAAAAAAAAUUAUUAACUCUUUCCCAUUUUAUAUAGUAAAAAUUUAAUUUUUAUUUAUAUUUAAAUUAAAUCAUCAUUUAAUAGCUAUUGUAACACAAUUCAACAAAUAAGAAAACAAUUUGCAUGAUAUAAAUUGUUAAAAUCAAGAAAAUUCUCUAUUAGUUUUGUACAGAUUUGUUAGAAAUCAUCUUUUUUUUUAUUGUGAGAAAAUUAUUUAUUUUUUAAAAAAUAUCUAUAUAAAACGAAAGGAAUAGUAUCAAUUAAUUAAGGAAAUAUACGAAUAUUUAGGAUGUCCAUCCGUUUAAUUAGCUACUCUUGGGUUCACUUAUGUUACUAGUAAAGCCAAUUUUAUGGUCGGUAAAUCAGUUGUCUCUGCUAGAACAUGUCAACAAUUAUUUUUUCUUACCAUAUUCAGUCCAUAUGAUGAUUAUGAUUUAUAUCCUAUAUAUAGUUGUUUCUUUUUGCAUGGUUCAUAUAACAUUGAUUGGUUUGUGUGGUUUUGUAUUUAUGGUACUAUAAGAUCGGGCUAUUUGUGCGUUGACAUUGGCCACAAGACGGUAGUAUAUAUUUUGGUUUACCCUUGGCCCUUGUAAUUAUUUCCAUUGUUUAGGAAAUGUCGAAAUUUUAUUUUCAAGAUCCAUAGAAAAUGUUUUAAAUCGUCAAUUAUUCAAUAUGCUAACGAAAUGCUCCGCCAAACUGAUUUUGGUCAAAACUGAGGGGGUUAUCCAGAGCUCAGUGCUAAAACAGUUUGUGAAAUAUUUAUGCCAUGACUGGAAUUGACCAUGAACAAAAUAAGUGUCUAACGUAAGAAUCAAGAUGUGAUUUCAACUUGAAAAGUUCGAAAGUGUAACGUGUAACGGUGUGAGGAAUCAGAUUUCCCAGUUUACUUGUGGUCUUUUCUGCUUGUGAUGGUUUUGUGAAAUGAAAAAAUGGCAAAUAUUUAUAAGUUUAAAUAAGUAAACAAUUAAACAACAAAGAAUUAUAUAACAAAAAUAGUAAUUUAAAAACAAUUCCGAGAAAAGUAUUCAAAAAUACAUGAUUUCUUAUAUUUAAAAUACUGAAAACAAAAUGGACCAUCUUGGGAAUAUGCAGCUUAUGUGACCUGUAACGUCAACAAUCGAGCUGUUUAAUCGCCUAACAAAAUGAUAGAGAUCAGGAUAAAGAAGGAAAAUAAGAGCUUAUAUUUGGGGAUAUAGUAGCAUAUGUGAUUAUUGCCACACUUUGAUGUCACAUUAAUUCUGGUAAUAACUACUGAAAGCAAAAAAAAAAGUAUUCUUCAAGUCAUCCACAUAUCAUUUUAGGUGUGUUUUCGUGGGGCUCUCGUGGAUGAAUCAAUGGCGUUAGUGGGACAUUCUAUUGCUAUACUUGUCACAAGGGACAUCUUAAAUCAUUUCCAAUCAAUUUUCACAUGCUUCUACGCCAUUAAUUUGUUCAUUUCUAUCUUUUAAAUCAAGUGUGUGCAUUAUUUUGAAAAGAAUAAAUAUGUUCAUAACAUAUGGUCACGGACAGCACUAUAGACAGGUAACCUUGGCUAUGUAAGUCAAUUGAUUGUGUUUUGUUGAUUAGUGACUUAAUGUUUUAUAAUAGUGAGGGAUUUAGGAAUAUCUUCACAGGGAGUGUAUACUCACAUGUAAGGAUGGAGAACUAUGUCACAUGUUAGGAUGGACUAUGAUGUCCCAUUUCGUUUGAUAUUUACAUUAUAAAAUAUUACUCGAUUCUGAUCCCACCAAGACCAAAAAUUAAGAUAGAUUGUAAAAUUUUAACGACGUAAAGCCAUAUAACACGAUUGACCAAAUGAAACUAAAUUUUGAUUUAAAUAGUGAAAAUAUGACAUGGUAUAUAUAUGUCAUUUAGACGAAAUUCAAAAUUUUGACGGAUUUUACACUAAAUUACGUUGGUUUCAUGGUUUGUGUGUGUGUGUACUGUGUGUGUGAGUUUUUUGUAUCUUUCAUGUAAGCUCAUCGUAGGAGUCGAACUCUGGUCUCUAGUAACGAAGUUCGAAUCCCGACCACAAGAAAGAAUUGAUGGACAUUUUUAUUUUUUAAGAACUCAUAGCCUAUGAUUCAUAGCCAUUGUUAUUUUCAUAGACUGAAUGACUGAUCAUAGUCACGUAUAUUAAUUAAAUUUACCUUUCUUUCUAAUUAGUUAUUAUUUAUUAACAUUCCCACAUCCAAGCAUGAUAGAAAAUAUGAAAGCUUAAUGUAUAUAAUGUCCUCAUUUUUUUACAAAUAAAAUACAUGUCUUACAAGUUACAUUACCGCCAUGCAAGAAGACGUAAGCAGAACAAUACAAAUAGUAACAUUAAAAAGGAAAAAAACAAUAAUAUAAAAUAUGUGGCUCAAAAGAUGCGAUGUGGACUAAAACGGCACCUCAGCCAAAAUUUAAUAAUCAUGGAACUAUAUUAUAAAUAUACCUCUUUGUUAUACUUUUCGUUUGAAUCGUAGCCAAUACGUAUAGAAUUAUAUAAAACAAAAUUUAGUUACGCAACCGGAUAGAAAGCAUACUGUGCUACACCACACAUGCCUUGAGGCCAAGCCACGUCUCUUCGGAUCCUAAUGUAACCUUUUUCUCCCCAAGUUUCACCCCAAGAGUUCUUAGCCAGCCAGUACUUGGUUCCGUCAUCGCUUGUUCCAUAGCCAACAAACGUAACAGCGUGAUUCGAGCUUGUACCACAAGGCCCGUCGUAUACUCCUCCUGAGUAAUGCAUGAACCCAUCACCAUCCGCGUCCAUCGACACAGAGACUGGUUGCCUCGAUACGGCCUCGAGCAAGGCCUGCUCGUUGUUGCUCGAUCGGAACAGACUGGAAUCCGCUGAUACGUGCUGCGGGUCUUGCGUUGGACCGGCAACUCCCAUCUGAUCCUUGAUAAGAGUAGUCGUUCUCGGAAGAUAUGCCUUGGUUUUGGAUUAUAUAGUUGAAAGCGUCCGACAUUAUCCCACCGUCGCAGCCUCGGUCGUACUCUCUGUCGCAAUCUAGAAGCUGUUGUUCGGACAAAGAUACAAGGUUCCCGCCGGCGAUUUUAGUCACUCCUUCCACUGCUGCUACAGCCGAAAACGCCCAACAACAUCCUGUACAUAUGAUAGACAGUUGAUAAGUGGGAUGCUUUCAUAAAUUAAACUGAGGCAAAAUAUAUAGUGAGCAAAUCAUCAAUAAAUUAGCCCUAGUUACUAUAAUCCGUAACUAACUUGGGAAUCAAGUUUUCGCAUUUCCAUUGCUUUUGUUUCUAGAUAUUAUAUGUCAUCAACUUUGUAUGUUUAUUUUAAUAGAAACAACAAAACAAACAUUUUAACUCUAUAUUUGAAAAUUCUGAAAAUUAAAAUGUAAAUUAAUUAACUUGAUAAGUAUAUAAGAUGAAAGAAGAAUAAGCUUGAAAUUUCCAAACGAUGUUGGAUAAAAUAUAAAGUUUUAAAAAUGUCAACAGAAAAUAUCUGAUUACGUAAAUUUAAAUGAAAAUAUUUCGUUUUAAACAAUCUGACGUAAUCGAAUAAUUAAGAGUACGUAGGAACGUUGGUAGUGUAGAAUUUUGGAAAAAAGCAUUACCGCAUUGGCCUUGGUAUUUGACAGGAGUGACAGCUCCAUCAGCUCUCCAGUCCUUGCUCUCGCUUACCACGUCACUGACGUUCCAAGACCUAGACGACAUCGUUUUCUCGACCACCUUGGAUGCGGAAACUUCAGUUAGUCCCUUUAGUCCAGUAUGCAUGGCUAGGAACUCUUCGUUGGUCCAAUCCGCGAAUUCAUUGACACCAAGCUUGUAGCUUUUGUUACCUUUUUGGUUGAAGUUCUCAAUGAACUUCACGUUCUUCUUAAACACAUCGCGUCUCAUCUGUUUCUCGAGCUCAUCACGGUAUACACGAGCAAACCGAGCCAUCCAUUGCUCAUGUUUAUCAACCAACGACAUAGCUUGAAAGGUGACAGUACGAGACGUAGCUUGAGAGAUUAUGAAACUCGUGAAAAGCAUGGUCAAAACCGUGAACAAGACCAUGAUCAGUGAUGCCAUUUUGGUUUUGGGAAAUAGAGGAAACUAAAGAACUAUGUUUUUUUUUUAAAAUCGGGCUUAUGGUUAAUGGUGUUGUAGUGUGAUGAUGAAGUGAGGAUGGAAGGAAAAGUAUUUAUAGAAUUAGGAUUGAACAAUGAGAUCCAAUCGUAUAAAAGCAAACGCAAGUUGACUUGAAUCCAUUUGGGGGGUGUGACUGUUAAUACUUUGCAUUACUUGCGCCGUGAUCUUGGAAGAAAAAAACUUCCCUAUUUUCAUUACUUCCUUAUUUAUAUUUUGGGUUCAUUUCUGGCUUUGGUUUAUUUGGUUCUAUAAAUCAAAAUCGGAAACCUCUUGCUCUAGUGGCUAAACAAGAACUUUUUUUUUUUUUUUUAAUUAAAAACAAGAACUUAUUGACACCACAACACGUUUUGGGUGAAAUAAUCGUCAUUUGUUUGGUUGGUUACGUAAUUAUCUAUAGUUCUAUCUUGUGAAAUUUCCAAUAUAUAUAUAUAUAUAUAUAUAUACCAUAUGUCGAUGACAAAAAAAAAAUAUAUACCAUAUGUUUUUCCAGUUUUUAGUAUACGGAUAUAUUCUUUCACCCACUUGGAGUUCUGCCUUUUGCUUGUGCCCUGAGCAAAUUCCACAAUAUAAUGGAUAUUGUUUUCAAUUAAAUAAAGAAAAGAAAACUAUAGUAUUAUAAAAUUGGAUUAUUGAAUGACAUGUAUGUAAUAAGUAUCUUUUUUUUGUUGGUAAUCUGUAUGUAAUAAGUAUCUAUAUAAUAGAUAAGAUACUUUCCAUUAUAAUAUUUCUUAAUUUUUUACUACAAAAACUUUAGAUUUGUUCCAUAUCUCUUCCGAACCGAAGAGCUGAAGUAUUUUACAAACAGUUCUUAAUUCCUACUAUUGGUAACACGAAUUAGUGAUCUCUUGGUUCAAUUUUACUUCGUUUUAAUCAUUCCAUGUCGAAAAUACGUACAAUACUUUAUAUGAAAUUUCUUUUUGAAAAUAUUGCAUCGUAACACCGUUUUUAAGUUUGAUAUAACAUGCUGACACCGUUUACAGUUCACACACCCUUUCCCCAUGUUUUUUCUCUUUUCUACCCUUGAUCUCUAACCAAGUCCUUCCAACGAAAAUCAUGGUUCCGUUUACAUUCUCUCAUUUUUAUUUAACUUUUUAUUUAAAAUUUAUUUUUUUGCCCAAAACAGUAAAACAAUUAUCUCUAGUUUUUUUUUUUUAAACUAACAAUUAUCUCUAGUUUAUCUGAAAGUAAUAACUCUAAUUUGGCCAUUUCCCCUCUCCCUCGAGCGCAUCUUCCCCAGAAGGCCAGAACUACACUCUAACUUUUUAUGAAGCAAGGAAUCGAAAUUUGGUUUGGUUGCUCGUAGAGUGAAGACGAUUGGUUCCAGUAAAGAAAAACAAAGACCUCUCACCAAAGAAGGUUUAACUUUACAUCUUUGUUUUAUUUUUGAUUUUAGCUAGUUUUGAUUUCACAUGUUUAGUUUCGCUAAAUCCCAAAAAAAAAUCUUGACUUUAGAUUGACCAUAUGCAUAUUCUUUCUGGGGUUUAUUGAGAUAGAUUUUGGGUAAUCAUUGUUUUAUUUAUCUGUGUGUUCUUGAUCGUUUUAUAUGUUAAGAUGAUGAUUCCAAUUUGUUUGAAUUUGGAAAGUUGAGAUCAAAUAUUGAUUUAAUUAAAGCUCAAAAUUUGAUUUAAAUAAAGCUCAAAUUCGUUGUUUUGUGAUUUUGUUUUGAACCAGGAUGCAAAAUUGUAUGAUGAAAUAUGUUUAUGUAAACUUUAAUGGGAAUCCACGAUUGAAGGAAAAAACAAGAAACUGGAAAGCUUGUCUUUUGAUUCUUGGAUAAUGAAUGUCGUGAGAGGCUAGCUUACUAUAGUAUUGCUGGGAAUCUAAUCACUUACCUCACCACUAAGCUACACCAAGGAAACGUUGCCGCUGCUACAAACGUCACCACAUGGCAAGGGACAUGUUAUCUCACUCUUCUCGUAAUGACUGAAAACACAUAAUGAAUGAAAACACAUCCAGAAAUACGACAUCCAUAUGGACAACGUUUGGUGGAUAACAAGAUGUUUGACAAUAGAGUUUUAUCACACGUUUGCUUUUACUUUUGUUUAAGAGUAGUUCUUGUUUGUUAACAUAUUGGUUCAUUUGCAUUGAUGUGUUGGAUCUGAAAUUAAAAUAAAAGCAAAAACAAUUUCUUGUUAGUAGUUGUGACGAGAUUCACAACCAAACCAUUAAGAUGAUAAUAAAGGAGUUAAGAUUGUUCAUAAACACAAGUACGUGUGGAACAGGUGAUCUCCGUGUUGUAGUUAGCUUUGCCUCUCUCUCCACACUCCCAACCGAUGCACACUCGCCUCCGUCGUUUGACAUGUGGUGCACACUUGCAACUAGCAUGCCUCAUCUUGUCAAAUUACUCCUCAUAUCUGUUCGUUCUUGUAUCGCUCGCAACUGCUCACUCUUUCUUGGCAAGUCCUGCAUCACGAAUCGUCCCCAAUUUCACUGUUUUUGGAUUCGAUUUUUUGGUAUACGGUAUCUGGUGCUUGUGUGGAUAUUAUUUUCUGGAUGUGUUCUUGUGGACACUNNNNNNNNNNNNNNNNNNNNNNNNNNNNNNNNNNNNNNNNNNNNNNNNNNNNNNNNNNNNNNNNNNNNNNNNNNNNNNNNNNNNNNNNNNNNNNNNNNNNACAUAAUUGUUGUAUAAUGGUUUUGUAUUCAUGGAGUAAUGGAUUCUUCUAGCCGUAUGAUUUUUGUUUGCAAAAUGUUUUUAUACAUGUAAAAUGUCUUAGAAAUAUGGUAAUCAUGUAUUUAAACCAAACAUAUAGCUAAAGUGGUAUGAAUAAAGGAGUGACGUAGUAUCCAUAUGUUAAAUUGCUUAUGUGGAUGCAGUAUUAUGGAUGCAUUAUUUAUGAAUGCGUUUUUUUUAUGGAUCUAAUAUUAUGGAUGUGGUCAUGUGGUUCACAAUGCAUCUUUGUAACAAACUAUUUUACAAACAAAUUUGUUUGGUUUAUGGUGAUUUUUGUGAAAAAACAAAUGUGGAUUAUGGUAUAAUUGUAACAUGUCUGUGUACUCUUAUCAAGUAACUCUAUACAUUUUUAUGAAGUAACUCUAACCUCUACAUUUUCUCAAGAGAAUAGCUAGUUAAGUAUAUGUGGACAAUAUCAAAUGGAUAUGUCUGUUUUUUACAUGAAAAAUGAUUUUUACAUUAACUACUAAACCAAUUCAUAUGGAUUAUGAUCUAUAAAUAAAUUUUUUCUUUUGGUCAUACCAAAAAAAAAAAACAAUAGAAAUUUUCGAAGUUGGUGUCCACGAGAUAAUGACCAUAUGGUCAGCAAAAAUGGUUAAACCUUUCUCCAUAUGUUGCUUUUGUCUCUGUAAUGUUCACAUUUCAAAACAAUAUCUUGCAAAGUUACCUUAAUUCAUCUUGUGCACCAUCGCAAAAUCUUCACAAGAUGAAAUGUAAAAAACAUGAAUGAAUCAACACUUUUUCUCUAAAAUAAAGUAAAUACUAAAAACACUCGUAGCUUGAAAACAAGUUAGUGUUUCACGACUUCUUGGUGUGCUUGAAACAAGUUAGUGUUUCAACGAAGGUCAAUGUCUUCCUCUCCACUUCCCAAUUUGAAUCCAGAUGAAGAACACACUACAUCGCUUACCGCAAGAAAAUCCAUCAAAGGGUGUCCAUCUGUCCUUGAUUCAAUUCCUCGUUUCCUAAAAUCUUCGAACCUCACAAACAUAUUCAAACAUAUGUUGAGUCGGAAUUAUUUCUUAAAGUAGCCGAAACCAGUUUCGCUUCUCAACAAAACCGGCGAAGUCCUCUCCCUUGUUGUGUACUUCGUACUUGCAGCAUCCUCAAGGUCUUGCAGCACCAUCGUCUCCGACAUGGGCACCGCCCGCGAAACCAGAAACGUGUCCACUUCGAACCUCCAUAUCCCAUUCACAUAACAACCCCACUCCCCCAAAGAACAAUGCACUGUCCAUCGAUCCUAACCUACCACAAAAAUUCAAGAAAUUUUGUUAGCUUAUACAAUUCACGAACCAAUUUGUAUCCACAUAAAACCUUUGAAAAAAUGUCGGCUGUUUUCCAACCAAUUGACCAAACUCUCUUCUUCUGGAUAUUAUCCCCAAAAACUACUUUUUAACCUAGUAAAAAAAAAACACACUUUUUUUGGGCCACACGAUCUUUUACUUUUUUUUUACAAUCCUAUGGCCAAUAUUUCGUGACUUGUAACCAUGUUGGUUACACUAUGGUUACACUUCCUUUCCACUAUGUUUUAGAACAAAGGGCAAUCAUGUCUUUUUAUUGUUAGCACAGUACAAAAGCACCUCAAAAACGGUGCAUAAACAUAGAAGGGUGCUAAAGUGAAAGAGAACUCACCAAAAGGGUGCUAGCGUGUAACAUUCCCUUUCUUUUUUUUUGGUUGUUAGGAUCGUCGCAGUGUAUAAAUUUCUGUGUCUAAAUUAGGAUAGUUUACGUUAAAAGGAUAAAAGUAUGCUACACUUUUUUCCUACUUUUGGCGUGUACUUUACAUAUUUUUUUUUUUGUAAUAAAUUCAGUUAGAGAAAGUUGUUUUGUUUGUCAUAACCGCAACGAAGGAGCAAUGGAGCAUGGGUUCAAUUGGAUGUCUCACUCUACUUGACUUGUAAGAGUGACGUAUGAUGACCCAAAAUAUAUUACAUAAAAUAUUACACAACGAGAUAUUGUAUAUACAUAUACGGCCAGAACAAAAAAAAAUAAAAAAAGUUUCUCCAUGAGGUGUUUCACUUUAGAAGUUUUUUAAUAACUAUAAUAUCGUAAGUAACUGCCAUUAUCUUUUUUUCAACUAUAGAAAAUAUAUAUUGGAUUCAAUACUUAUACUGUAUAAGUUAUACAUCAUCUCAAAAUUCAAAAGGCUUUGAAAAUUCAUCUAAUAGUAAUAGCCAACUUUUAUACUCAAGGAUUACUUUCUAGUUAGGCAUGUCAAUCGGGCUAGCCCGGUCUGGCCCGGCCCGAAACCCGUAAAGCCCUCAUAUAUGUGAGCCCGGCCCGGCCAGGUCCGAAAAAUUUCCGAGUCUAUAUUUUAAAGCCCGGCCCGGCCCUAACAGGACUACAGGGUUUUUCGGGCCUUUUUGGGCUUUAUUUACCGAUAAAAAAAUCAAUUUCUAAGUUCAUAAUAGUUUUUAAAAAACUAUAUUUAAAGGUCUACUAUAAAAAUAAUGCAUCAAAUUUUAAAUAACUUAUCAAUAUUCAAUAAAACUAACUUAAUUUAAGAGAAAAAAUAAAAGCCAAAUAAAUUAUUUACAUUUUAACCCAAUAAAACAUGGAACUAAAAUACUUUAAAGUAUAAGAUAGAGUCAAAAUUUAAUAGAUACUUUGAUGAUUUCAAAAUCAUGAUACUUAUAUAUAUAUUUAGUUUUAGCUUUAUAUAAAGAUUUAAAAAGUAAUAAGUAAGACUAGUAAGUAAAUAUGAAAACUAUAACAUUAAUCAAAUCUUUUAAUCAAAUUAAAAUAUUCAAAAAAUUCAAAAUAUAUUUGUAUAAGAGCUUUUCGGGCCGGCCCGAGCCCGACCGGGCUAAGCCCAAAAACCCUUUACCCCGAAUGGACUUAGCCCAAAAGGCCCGGUUUUUUCUGGACAUAUAUAUUUAAGCCCGAGCCCGAUGUUUUUCAGGGCCGGGCCAAACUAACCCGCGGGCUUUAUCCCUAAUUGACAUGCCUACUUCUAGUGAACAUCAUCAUUUGUGUCAAAUUUUGUUUAUAAACUUCAACAAAACUAGUAAAUUUCACUAGUUUUAUAAGUGAUAUUAAUCCCAAAGGAUUCUAAUGUUACUAGGUUUCCAAAUUUUAACUCGUAUUUAAACAUAUUAAAGUGCCAAUCACAAUUAGUCUAAAAACUAUAGAUAUAUGUACAGUAUUUGAUUUUUAAAAUUCAUCGGAGAUAAGACUUUGGCGUGUGUCUUGAUUCGUCUGAAAUCUGAAAGUUUAUAUACCAACUCAGAAGAGAAGCUAGUCCAUUUCAUUGUAUGAUUUAAGACCACCGUACCAUUUUUUUUUUUGGAAUGUUCUAAGAAACUAGACAAGGGGAAUACAUAAUCAGUCCACAUCAAAGAAGGGAUCAUAGUUUCACAAGCUAAAAUGCAAACGUUACAAAAUACAAUAAAGAGUAAUUAAAGACAAACCACCACUUCAGCUCAACAAAAUGUCACUAACUCUUAGGGUCAUUUUCAUUUGAAAAUCACACUAACGACGUCGUCGACCAAAUGUCUGACCCUUAGCGAAACAAGCUCCAUUUGCCUUUUCUCCAUCUUCCUCACCUUUUCCUCAAUCGCUCUCUUCUUUGGUCCAUCGUCAACUUUAUCCAACCCUUAAUCACUGUGGAUUCAUCCAAACCAAAGGAGUUCUUGCAAAAAGAUGCUAUGAUCUCUCUACCGGAGGAUUCACAAGUACUUACAACGUUUACGUCCUGAGGUGAAUUGAUGUCCUUGAGCUUUCCUCCAAGCUUCUUCCUUGGGUUGUAAGCAAGAACACUCUUUCCCUCUCCAAGACACUUUUUCUGUUUCUUUCUAAACGUUAUCUUCAAUCUUCGUAGAUGCAAAUGCAAGAGUGGCUUGAAGCAAACCAAGUUGUUCCCUUUGGCUAAAUAACCAUGGAAACAUUUUCUGCUUACGCCUUUCACUUUCAGAACUGACCUACUAACCUCUUCCUCAAAUUUCAGCUUCUUCACAUUCACAUCCUCAGUCGUCAUCUCUUCUGUAACAUUUUGUACAAGGUACUGUUAGUCUCAGCAACUAUAAGAAACUCAAGAAAUAUGAAGUGUUAGUUUCAUAUAAUUUCACACACAUAAACCAAGGGUACAUAUGGAGCUCUACAAACCUGGACUCUUAUCAGGUAAUUGAGCAGACUCCUUAGUCGAAAACACUUGUUUUGUGACUUAUUCGAGUGCUUUUUCAGUGGGUUUUUAGGAGUUUUAAGAUAACAGCAGAGGUAUCAGAUAUAUAUAUAUAAUGGAGUCGAAAAGUUAGGUAAGAGUUAACUCCAUUACUUAAAAACUUCUCCGUCCCUUCAUAUUCCUACUACAGUAGUGUAAUUAAUUUGAAGUUGUAAUUCAAAAUAGUACAACAACGAAGAGCCAAGAUGCUCUCGUGAAUUACAAAAGAAGUUAUUUUGUAAAGUGAACUGUAUUAGUAUUAAUUAGAAAACUCCUCGAAAACUCAAUCUAUUAAGUUCUGGUAAUCAUUCUCUUGCUCUUCUAACAAGACUCCAUUUUCGGUACUUGUUCCAUCAGACAGCAUAAUGAUUUAACUCCAAGAGAAAGAUUUGCCUUUGUCUUUACUUAGCUAACUAAGAUUGUGAUCAUUGACCAUUCAUAACCUUUUAUAUCAAUUCACAAAAGGAUCAAAUUAAACAGUACCAACAACUUCAUAGUUUCAAUUCCGUGUAAGAAAAAACUAGCUCUAGGGACCAAAGAAUCACUAUUUACUCCACCAAACUGGCUAGUGUGUUUAUCAGAGAGCUCGGGCUAAACAAGAUCCCGUGCUUCGGGUCAACAACACUCUCCACGACUCUCUGCAACAGACCGGAAGCUAUAGUGAGUGUUUGCUGUGCACCUAAACUUGGAAACAAGUAAAAGAGAGAGAUACUAACAACAUCAUUGAUCCCUUGUUCAGACAAUUGUUUGAGAUCUACCGCUAUUUCUCCAUCUUUUGGGACCAAGAGUGUGUUGAUGUAAUAUCCAGGCUGCACACAAAAAAUAAUGUUCUUGGAUCUCUGUAUACGUCUGUUAAAUAAGACACAAAGAGAGUGUGAACAAAGAGAGUGUGAAUUGAGAAGAACACCACUCACGGGAUUCUUGAGCCGGAUAUUAGGAUCUCCAUGAGUUCUGUUGAGAGCAUCAGCGAUAGCAGUCACAAAGCAGGAAGCAGUGAAGCUGCUUGUUUCUCGGUCUUGACUACCGUUCAACAGAAGUACCUGUGACCAAGAGAAAACAUCAGACUGAAUUUCCACCAUUAGUAUUCUUGAUGAGUUCCCGGGUACCUUACGACAUGACCUGGAAGAGAUAAUCUCACCAACGCCAAGCAGAACCUAGAGAACAGAAGAAGACACGUCUAUAACAGUAAUCACUAAUUUACUAUUCCCGCCAUUGUUGCACAAAAUUCUUAACAGGUUCUUUACCAGUGAUGGGCAAAUGGAAGUGAAUAGGGAUCCCAUAGCGUAGACAAUACAGUCCACACUUCUCAACUGCUCCAAGACUGUUGGGUUAACUGGUGGGAAGACCUAUUUAAUGGAAAUAACACAAUACAUUUGCAAUGUCAAAUAUACCAGAGAAAACAAAGAACUGAAGUAGAGAACUAAAAAGAUAGAGCUUCUUUCAGGGGAACAGAAUCACUAGAGAUAACAUUGAAAAUAUGCAGAGCAAAUUUCUGUAUAUACAAAACAGCGUAAUAUACCUCAUGAAGCAGAUUAUUGCCUUCACUUGACAUGUAAAACACUCUCUUUAUCUUCGAUGGAAGAGCUAAAGUCAAACAAUGUCUCUACUAGAAAUAUAGAAAGACAAUGUAAGAAACACAAUUCUACGUAGUUACAAAAUUUGACAUUUAUUAUUGAUACAAGUAUAUAGUUUUUGUGAUCAUCAUAGAACUUCAAUGUUAUUACGUUAAAGGAACACCUUGUCAACAGUCUGCAGAGUCCCAUUGGUAGGGUGAGAGAUUUCAUUCUGUCCGCGGAUUAUAGUCCCAUCCUACAAAUUAAUGUCAAAACAGUAAGUCUGCAAUCAAAUUUACCACCUGAAAUUUGGGUGUCAAUUGAUGUUUAAACCAAAAAAGUUGGCCAGUGCAUCUAAGAUUUAUGUAUAAAAGUGAUAUUUUUUCCCGUGGAAAGUGAUGUUUUAGUUGCGAUUGAUUGUCAUGUUUGGGAUUCUAGAAACUAGGUGCUGGAAUUCAAACAAAGAUCAAGCUCCAUACCAGUAAUUCACAUCCUAGGGUAAGCCUAUCAUUGGUUGAUAUCACUGGGAGGACCAAACUGUCACAAGGAAUCUCUGAAACGCGUGAAAACAGAAAAAUCGCAGCAUCUAAAGACUGGAAAAAUAUCCUUGCUCCAGCAAAAAAGAAGUUCCCGAUGCUAUAAGAAGGAUACAAUUGAAAGUAAGUUACUAAAAAGGAGAACAACAUUAUAAACACUUGAAGCUGAUAAAAAGAUCUUCAAUAUCAAUACCUUCCAUUACUGAAGCAAAAUCUAUCAUUAGGUCUUCUAAGAAUCUGUGUCGUAAGAAAAAUGUCAAUUAAGAAAAAUCUAAAGAAUCAAGAAGUUUGGAACUGAUCAACAAGAAACCAACAAAAACAUGUUUCUCAGUAACAAUUAAUCUUACCUCAUUCUGAAAGUAUAUCAAGAAAGCACGGAUUGUUUCACUGUAGGGUCUUGAAACACCGUUCCACAGAGAAUGAUCACCUUCCACAAUAUCAUACCUGAUAAAGUUUCAACUCAGCCAAUUACACAAUACCCUCUACCACUGUAACUAGUAAAAGCCUAGCUAAUAAAUGAGAAAUGCUGGGGAAUAAGAAGACCUGGCUAGUAAAAGAAAUAAGUAGAGAACUAAUAAGGGGAAACACUUGAACAAUGGAUAUUUCGUUUGGAGUCUGCAGGAUUCACUGUUUAAAUCAAAUCCUACUUUUCUACGUCUUUCUUAACUAACUUCUGUGAGUAAUUUUCAACAGUGUAAGGGAAAGAGAUGCUUGAUUGUAAUACGAGCUUAAAGCGAUGGCCUUUAAUGUGUAGCUUGAAGAGUAGACUACGCUAUGUGCAUAAAGAAAACAGAGAGGUUAGAUAAAUUACCAAUCUUUCUUGGCCUUAUCUGCAUCUAUAGGUAAGCGAUGGCCAAGCAACCUUCUAACAGCAAGUGCCUCUGAAGUACUUUCAUCAGACAGCCUUAAACACCUUGAACGUAUGUCACCAACCGCUGGUCCACCUAUAACAACAAUGCAGAUACAAAAAAAAUCCCUUAAAAAGUGUGUUUCGAUGGUAAAUGUUAAGCUAAAACAUAUAACAUGGGUCUUUCACCAUAGAACUUACCGAGAACACGAACAAUCUCAGCUGUACUUCCUCCAUCAUCAGAGACAGGAAGAACAUGAGCGACUCGGGUUGUUAGCUUCUUCAAAUCUUCCACCACACCGUUAAAUCCAGUACCACCUUCAUCCCAACCAAAAAAAACAAUAAACAAUAGUAACUAAACAAAAUGUAUUGCCAAAUGUAAGUCACUAGUAUAAUCUGUAAGACAAUGAUAAAGUUUUACACUUUGCAACAAACAGUAUUAACACAUCUCAUCUUAAGAAUGCUACUUGGCAAAUCAAAUACCAAAUUCACAGUAAUUGGCUAAGAUCUAACCCAAAUUGAUGAUCUUUCCACUCAAAAGUCGAUACUUUAAGGAGACCCACAAAGCAAGGAAUAGGAAGAAAGUGGAACCUGAGAAGACGAGGAGAGAAGGCGACUCCACGGUGGAGGAGGAGCAGCAUUCGGCGGGAACGGAAGCAGCCAUAAGAGAAGCUGAAUUGUAGUGAUGAGGUUUGCUGCGGAAGAGAGAAAGAGAUGGAACCUUGUACUGGACGAGACCCCCAAAAUAGCAAAUCUCCGCCAUUACCGAGCUGAAACAGAAUCACACAUCUCUCCACCUUUUCGGGUUUUGUCGAUUUUUCAAAGCGUAGGAUUUGUUGUUGUCGCAAUUUGGCAGUAAGCCGGUAAUCCAUUCUUAAGUACAAGAAAACAAAAUAUUAAUUUGCUACGGCAUUGAAGUGGUUUAGUUUGGUUUUUUUCCUGGUUCGGUCCAAAAUAAAUCAAAACUAGUGUUUUAAUUAGAUUUUGGUUGGCUUUGUGGUUUACAUGUUUGUUAAGUGUAUGAACAAUUUAACAUUGUUUCAGCUUUAGAGUGACAUAGUCCGUCUGAAAAAACUUUUUAAGAAAUCUAGUUUUCUACAAAAAGAGUUAUCGCUAGAGCCGGUGAUUAUAAAGUGUAAAACUCAAAUUAAAAACACACAAAAAUUGCCAACAAAAUUCAUGCAGAGCCCUUCUGGUCCCUAGUCACGUAGACCCAAUCACUUUCUGGGAAAAGUAUCUCGACCUCAUCAAAUUCCGUAUCCUCCUCUUGCCUCACAUCCACAAAUCCGUGUAGUAACUUUUCCGCUACGUCAUCUUCAUCUUCAUGAGCCCUUAAUGGUUCGUUGCUUAAAUUACUCAUCAUUAUAUGCUUCCACGAUAUCCCCAUCACUUCUUUGACACCUUUAGAGUAAUGACAGUCCUCAACAAUAUCAUCAUCAGAUGAUGAGUAAAGAUCUUCUUCGGAAGAGGUGUCAACAUUCUUUAACAGCUGAUAGCAACCUUUCCACUUCAGCCUCGAAUCCUAAUCACAAAGACAAUAUAUAACCAAAUCAGCAAACUGGUGAAAGAUAACUAGAGUCCAUAAUAUUGAAAAGAUAACUUAUUUUUUCUAGUUUUUGUGAGGGCAAAUAUAAAAAUGUGAAAAACUGUUUCACAAAAAAACUUACAUUAUCUUCUUCAUUAUGAUGAUGGUACGAACUAGGGAUAUAGCUCGUCGAUGAGGUCCCCAAACUAAGCUCCGACAUGUUUUCGGAAGACUUAGAAGCUGUAGUAUCCUCUUCUUUAUUUUCUUCAUCAUCAUCAUUCCAUGAUUCAUCAUCUUCUUCGGAAAACGUGUCAACAUCUUCGUCUUCUCCAUUAUCAUCAUCAUCUUCUUCUUCUUCUUCUUCCUCGGAAGGCAUCCACAUCAAAAUCGAUUCCUAAUCAUAAUGAUUUAGUCAGACACAAUAAAUAGACAAGCAAAUGAUUAAAAAUUACUAAAUUCCGUUAUACAAAAAGGUGAUUUACUAUCCUAAUGACCGUGUAUAUAUAUGAAGAUGUGAAAAAACUGCUUAAAACUUACAGUAUCUUCUUCUGAAACUGUAGACUUGUCUUCUUCUUCCUCACCAUCACCAUCACCAUCACCGCUUUGUUCUUGAAUGAAACUCUCUGAAAUUUUCCAAGCUGCCAAGGAAAUCAAUAUGAUACUUGUCAGUCAAGAAACCAAAAAAGUGCUGAUAUUGUGGCUCUACUUUAAAUGGAGUUUACAAUAAGACUAUAUGUAAUGUAUAAUAUGUAACACAUACCACGCAUAGCCCAGUGUUGGCUCGGUUUUUCUUCGACGUCAGCAAGGCACAUAGACCAGUGUUGGCUCGGUCUUUCUUUGACCUCAGCGACAGGGUACUGAGAGGAAUUUUCUUCACCAGAUUCGCCACUAUUUGGCUGUCCAGUGGUCAAGUCUUCGGUAGUAGUAGGCUGGAUAUCUCUUGUCAACUCUGUCCAGAGUUCAAUACCCUGCAAAUAUAUAUAUAAGUGAAUAACUCGUCUCUUGACUCUUUAUUUGGUAAUCAAUAUAUAAUAUAAAUAAACAACACGACCCAAAAGUCUUAUGUAUAACAACGUACUAAAAUACAUAACCUACAAUAUCAGUUCCUAGCAUAAAUUUUGCGUUUACGAUGAUGAUGAUAAAAUUAAGAACCUAUACAGAGUUAGGCUUUAGUUUUAGCUAAUGUAUAGCUCAUAAUCUAGACAGAACCAUAACUCAUUAAUUUUAGGGCAUUAAACAUCUUAAAAAGACCAAAACAAAUUAAAAGAAUAAGAGUACUGACCUUUUGUAUCGUUUCGUCAACCUUGGUAAACACCAACCCGAUUUCAUCCAUACACUUAUCAAACCACUGGAUAUCAUCUACGCCUCCCAUCUUCCUCAGUCUAAUUAACCCUGGGGAAAGAGUUUCAAAUACCAAAAUUUCAGUCCUGAUCUAGUUCUUAAAUAUUAUAUAGUUAGCAAAAACAAAGUUUCUCUUUGAUUUAUUUUUUAAGCGACGAAUAAAAGAGAGUGGAUCGUGUGGAAACCCUAAUUAUUAGAACGAGAAGUAUGAUCGAAUAUCUGAAAAAAUUUGUAUAAAUCGUUGCAAGAAAACUUACGAAUGAAAAGCGAAAGCACACGAACGAGAGGAAGUAGUAAUUAAGGAAGAUUUUGGUUUGGAGGAGCUCUGGAGAGAUGGAGAAUGGAUCGCAAGUAAAAAAGAGUUUGGGGUUUUAUAACUUUGUUUCUCGUUUCCUUUUUUUUCCUUUUUCAAGAGUUUGUUAUGAUUCCCAUAACACAUAGGACUUGGACGUUUUAAUAUUUUCCUUUUUUUUUUGAGUAGCACACAUUGGAGUAAGGACUUCCAAUAUAAUUAUAUUUUAGUAACAGUGAAAAAAUAAUAAAAUUGCAUGAUAAAAUUAAACAAAGAAUAAACAUAUGAUUUAACAAAAAAAAAUGUAUAUAGAGCGAAUAGUACAAUGUUGGUUAAUUCUUCACACUAAUCAGUAAUUUGUAACAACAAAAUAAAAUAAAAUAACGCUUGAGCUGUUGAGCAAUGUGGGUAAGGCAAGACCCACAAUAUUGAUAUUCAUUUCUUAGUCUAAAUAUCUCAAUAUUAUAUUUUCGCAAUCAAAUAUUGCGUUUGAUAUAAUAUAUUGAAAGGUAAUGUACUUCAAGGUUAAGGAUUAAUUAGACAUGUUAAAAAAGAUUAAAGGUAAUGUACUUCAAGGUUAAAGAUUAAUUACAUAUUUACAUGCUUCAAAAGAGAGAUUUCCAUUCUUUAGUUUUAUGUUAUUUUCCAAGGUUAUUUCAUUGAAAUAAAAAUUAAUUAAAGGGUUAUAAGGAGAGGUCAAAGAUUUUUAUUUUUAUUUUGACUGUGUUGCCCUUGAUAUGGUGGGAUAUUCAAAUUAAAAAGCAAAAACCACUCAUUCAUCAUCAUAAACAAUCUUUUUACAACAAAGAGUGAUUAUCUCAUAGAAAGAAAGAUACUAAAAUGAUAAGAAAAGAAAAACUACAAAUUAACAAAGGAAGCUAAAACAUACGCCGAGGGAACUGCUCCUGAAUGCGUAGGCCUAAAUCCUGGUCCCCCGUAGCAGAAGAAGUGAGUCUUCCAUUCUUUUGUAAUCAACCAAUCUAGUAAAAAUUUCCGAUGGCCAGUAUAUGUUGUUGGACCCUAAACUCACCACUAGUUUUAAUAAUUUUUAUCUUGUAAUUUAUUUUUUAAUUAGUUAGGGCAUGAAUAAUAUAUAUAUAUAUAUAUAUAUAUAUAUAUAUAUAUUUAAAACGAUAAGAAACCAACAUUUAACAUGGAUGGUAAUCUCAAACUGGCUUCCUCCUAAGGAAGAAAUAGGAGUAAUGGAGCCUCCGAAGACACUACUACCACUUGUUGGAUGAAACCCCGGGCAUCAAACGUUAUAGCAUCUAGUUUUGUAUGCAAUACUCUAGAAAAUAAACAUUAUUGCUACUACAAUGCAAAAACUAAUUCAAAAUCACGUCUGGUUUGAUGAUUUUAUUUUAGUAAGUAUAUUAGAAAUAUCAAAAUUUAUAUCUAGUAAAAAAAGACCACCCACAUUUAAAAUUCUCCAAAAAAAAGUCUUAAAAGUUUUUUAUUGAUUAAAGACUAUAUUGACUCAAAAUUUAAAAGUGUGACUGAUAAGAGUAGAAGAUAAUUAAUUUUGGUUGCAAUUUGAAUUCUAGGAUUAUAUUUCAAAUCCAAGUAUGGGUUUGAAACUAGAUAUGGUUUGGUUUCGGUAAAAAUAGCAAAACAUAAGUACAAUAGAGCAGAACAUAAAUAAAAGUUAAGCAAAACAAAUGACUGAAUAAAGGAAAUUAGAAAUUAAAAAGUUUAAAUUUGAAAUAUUAAAAGUAAAUCUCGCAUAUAUUGUCAUUUUUUGUGCUUUAGGGAUUUCUAAUGGCACUUCCUGUAGUCUUUUGAAGAAAAAUAAUUUUAGUUUCAAUAAAAAUUAUUAAGCGAGACCUUACCAAAAAAAAAAUAUUAAAGGAGAAUUAUAAAGUAAAGUGAACAUUGAGUUAAAUUAUUAGAACGAAAAAAUUUAUUUGAAAAGUCACAAAAUGGAAAAACUAAAAACUAAAAGAAGAUGGUCAAAUGCUGGUUGCUUCGUUUUGUCAAGCAAAAGACAUCCUCACCAUCUGAACUUUAUUAAAUAUAAAUAUAGAUAAAAGAUGUUAGUAUAUUUUUAUAAUUUCUUUUUGACGCAUCUAAAAUUCUUAGACAUAUCAAUCAGGCUGGUCCGGCCCGACCUGAAUCCUAUAAAACCUUUAUAUACUGUAUUUUUGGUUUUCCUUUUAGUGAUAAUUCUUAAUUAUGUUUUUUCUUUAAUCCAUUAUUUUACAAUUAAAUAAUUACCACAAAACUACAAGAUACACCUGGCCAUAAAUAUAUUUGUAUGUAUCUUUGACUAUAUAUAAUAUAUUUCCAUGAUAACUUCUCUGUUUUUGGUAAAAAAAAAAUGUAUUUCCAUGAACUACUACAAGUUGACCAAAAAUGUGGUCAAAAUUUUUUUGACCAAAAACAAUAUUGUGGCAAAUAUGGAAGAUUCAUUUUUGGUCAAGAUAAAAGAAAAAAAGAAUUGGGCAUUAAACUGAACUUUUCUAGUAAUAUAAAUAUAGCUUUUUCUGAACAAUCAUAAUAUAGAAGAAAAAAAAUAUAAUUUUGAAAUACAUAUAAUGGAUCUCACAAAAACCUCCAUCACUUUUUUUCUUGUGUUAAUGUUGGCAAUCUCAUUAGCCAACCACAAUGUUUUGGCUGCCUCAAGUAUGAUACUUCUUACAAAAGAUUUAUUUUCUAUCAUAUUAUGUUUAAAUUAUUUUUGAUCUUUCGGAAAAUAGUGAAUACUACACUUGUUUUUUUUUUUUUGUAAUGAAAAUAUAGAAUCGCAUUAACCAUAUAAGUUAUUUUAUUUAUGUAUGUGUAGUGCCACCAGAAUGCAUUGGUCAAUGUGUGGGAGCAGUGUCCAAAUGCGUCCAUGACUGUGUGGCGCAAGGUUACAAGCAGGGACAUUGUAUCCCAGGGACUCUAUUUGCUCUUUGUUGUUGUAGCUAGGCCAGUUGCAAUAACAAAUAAUGAAAUCAAUAUUGUUCGAGCAGCGAAUUUAUGUUUUUAUUGACUUUUCUACUGUUGGUUCUUAUUAUAUAUUUGAGUAUUAAUAAAAAUUCAUCGAAUUAAUAUAUCAACGACAUCGCUUUUACAAACUAAUAUAUUUUUUUCCUUUUUUUUCGUAGCACACAUUGAAAUAAAGACUUGCAAUAUAAGUACUCUUUCUUUUUCACAAAAAGUGUCAUUUUGACAUAAUUCACACAUAUUAAAAAAAAUAUAUAAUUAUACAUGUUUACCCUUAUUAAAUAAGAGAUUAAUGAUUUAAAUACAAUAAAAAUGACUUUUGAGUUUAGAGGUAAAUUAAGAAAUUUAAUAUAAAAAAACAUUGGAAUCGUAGAGUGAGACUUUUUGUGAAACAAAGAAAAAUCUUUAGAAUAACAUUCUUUAUAUCUUAAUAACUAUGAAAGAUAAUAAAUGUGUAUGAUACAAUAAAACAAAGAAUAAACAUGAUUUAACAAAAAAAAAAUACAAAUUUGGUUAUUUAUCUUACACUGAUGAGUAAAUUAUUGAAAAAACCAUUUAUUUAUCUUUCUGUGUUAUGGUAAUGACUCCAUAGGGGGAAAAACAGUUAAGUGUCUCGCGAUUAUUGUUGUAUUUGUUUGAUGUCGACCAUGGAUCCUACCCAAAAAAAAUGUCGACGACGGAGGUUAAGCCUUUUUGUGUUUAGCCAAAAAAACAUAAUUUUUUACUUUUCCAAUUUGUUUAUCUAGGGAUUCACACUAUUCCUUCUUUGCUUCAUGUACUAGUCAAACUUCAUAUUAGUUAUUUUCUUUAAUUAAUGGUAUUGCAUUGACUGAUGUGGUGACUGAUAAGCUAUGAAGAAAAAGCAAAUAUGGUUGUAAUUUUCAGUGGUUUGUGAUUUAGCACCCCAAAAUUAAAACAAAUUGGAAAUUUAGAACACAAAAUUUAAGCAUAAAAGGACACUUUAUAUGAAAUUAUUUUAGUAUUCAAUCAUCAAAUUUUUCAACACUGUUUACUUUUUUUUUUACAAUCAAAUCUUUCAAUCAAAAUAAAAAGGUCCUCUCACUAAAAGAAAAUCUUUCUACAUCUAAUGUGAAAAGAAUGGAAAUCUUUCUUUGAUACAUGUAGGAUUCUUGAUUUUCCUUUUUGAAAAUUCUUGACUGUAUUUAUUUUGCUUUAUUAUUUUAUUUUGUUUUUCACAAAACUACAAGAAAUUACUCCAUAAAUUCCAAAACUACAAGAUAUUACUCCAUAAAUUCCAUAGAUUCAUUGACUAUAUAUAAUAAGAUUUCCAUAAAUUCAAGUAAUAAAGAAUCAUUGGCCAAAAAUAAGAUUGUCAGCAAACAUGGAAGAUUCAUUUAUGGUCAAAAUAAAAGAAAAGAUUUCUUUAUUAAAUUGAAACUUUUAAAGUCAUAUAAAUAUAGCUUUAUGUGAAGAAGUAGACAAAUAUCAAACAUAAUUUCUUCUUAACAGGAGUAGAAACUUAAGAAAAAAAAACAUACAAUGGAUCUAAAAAAAUCUGCUAUCAUUUUUUUUCUUGUAUCAAUAUUGGCAAUCUCAUUCUCCAACCACAAUGUUUUGGCUGCCUCAGGUAUGAUACUUCGUAGAUAAUAUUACUUUGCUAUUUUCUUUUAAAAAUAUCUUUAGUCACUUUUGAGCAAUUGUGGACACCAUACAUUUUCCUCAACAUAUAGAACAUGUUCGGGUAAGAAGUUUUAUGUAUUGAUUAUAUGUGUGUAGGUAAGAAAUGCAUUGCACAAUGUGUUCCAGGGGUUUACGAAUAUUUCGAAUGCAUCCAUGACUGUAUAACCGAAAGGUACGAUGACGGACGUUGUUAUCCAGGGCCCAACACUGGAAAAUGUUGUUGCACCAGCAAAUGAUUAAAAAACGAUAAAUUUGUUCGACUGAUGAAAUAUGUUUCAAAGUCUUUUUCUGAAUAAUUACUAAAUGAAAUGAAAUUAAAAAAUAUAUAUUUUUCGUUCUAUCGUUUUAAGCUUUUCCUCACCCCUCUUAUAAACUAACGAUUCCAGUCCAGUCUAUCACAAAACAGCAUCACUGGUCACUAGUUCCGCAGUCGAAAUUUUGGGUUUACUGCUACUUCUUUCUUUAGGAACGUACCUAAACAUUUGCUUGUUUGUAGAGCUAUGAAAAAUAGUUUAACAGGUUGAUCCAAUCCAAAAAUAAAUACAAAAAUUAAACCUUUUGAUUUUAUUGGGUCAUUGUGACAAAAAGCCCACCUUAGAUAAAACCCAUCUUGAGCCCAAAUGGCCUAAACGAGCAGCUCCGGUGCUCUGACUCUUCACUGUUUAUGUUUCCUUUUCCCAAUCGGAGGCAACGAUUUCAUUUUGGGAUGGAAACAAAAAUCAGGCGAAAGUGAAGGGCCCAAGGGGGGGGAGGUCGUCGUGGCUGAACCCAGAAGCUUGUGUAUAUGAAUGUCAAUAUGUGGCGGAGGAAAAUCAUUCAAGUCAAGGCACUGGUGGCAGCGUCGCCUCAGAUCCUUGUAUAUGGCGGCGAUGUCAUUCUCUCUGUCCACUUUUCGAGUCGCAAUCUCUCUGCUCCUCCUUGUUCUCUGCCUUCAAUUUUCUCCCGGUUGAGCAGGCAAUUUCUCUAUCCCCUCUAUCACACUCUUAGUGUAUUGGUAGCUUUAGUGAUAAUGAAGCAACGAUAGGGGUCUCGUGCUCGGAACGUUGUUCUUCUACUCUUCCGCCAUAGUGUUAAUCUUAAAUCGAUUGAGCGGACAACGUAGAUAAUAAUAAUAACAGAAAUUUCGAAAUUCAGUUUUAGCUUUAAGUUGCUUUACGAUGGUUUUCAAGAGCUGUGUGUGAUAUACGUAUUAAUUUGAUGAGUAGGGGGAUUUAUAUAGCGUCAAGAGAAGGUUCAGGCCAACGUGGAGGGUAAAGGUGAGUAUUGUUGGAGCUAGCUAGAUCACUAUAUCUCUGCUUGGAAACAGUGUAAUAGGUAAUUUAGCUUAUGAGAGACCAUGAAUGGCUUUGAACACCUUACUGAAUCUCUGCUUUUCAGGGUUUCAUGGAUACAUAAGCAUUAUUGCAAUGUGCUGUUAUCUUUGUUUGUUUGUUCGUUCGAUGUGUUUUUGUGCAUUUGCUCAUUAAUGUUCAUACUAUAGAGUCUCGCUUUUAGUCAGUUAAUGUACUCUUUAUGGUCCUUUACCAGUUAUGUACUCUAUACUGACUUUCAUGAUACUCUUCUGCUGCUUGAUUCUCUGUUAGCAUUCUUGCAUUUCAUAUUUUUAACUUGUUUCUUAUGUCACUGGUCUAUUUGUUCUGUCCUUCAAUAUAACAGGGGAAUAAAAAGGCUGCCUCUUUUGUGAAGUUCAGGCGGUGGUGGAAGGGGAUUGAUUUUUUCCAUAAGGCUUAUUUUUUUUAUGCCAAUACAUGAAGAGUAAGCUCUUUUUUUUGUUUAGCACUGUAAUUUUAGAUUUUAUGAGAUGGAGUACUGUUAUCCGCCUUGCAAAAAUUUAGAUUUCUUUCACAAGAAUUCUUAAAAGCUUAUGUAUUCAGCAUGAUUCUUGUACCAUGUUUCAGUCUCCACUGGAGCCUUGUGAUAGUUUCAGUCUCCAUUGCCAUUGGAGCCUUAUGAUAGUUUGCAUCCUUUUCCAAAUAAAAUUAAAUUACAAACCCAAUAACAAUAAAAAAUAGUAUAAUAAUGUUUAAGUACUUAAUGGGUGUCUUUACCAAUGGAGGUCCAAAUUUGAUGAGUUUCUUACAACUUAAUUUAAAUUAAAAUGUAUUUACUGUACCUUAAUCUAUUAUUGUAGCUUUGGUUUGCCUUGUGUUUAUUUAUAGUCUGUGAGAUGAGUGCCUUUACGAGGUUUCUUUGAGUCAACCAGGUUGAUUUUGGUUGUGAUUUGCUGCUGCCCAGAAGAAGAGGUGGAUCGGAUAAUUCACGGCUUUCUAGUAAGCGUUUUCUAUUAUUUGUUUUGUUUUUGUUAACAAAUAAGUACUGGCUCUGAAUCUCGCUGGCUCUAUGGGUUUCUCUCUGUUUACAUACAGCCUACGUCUAGUCUGAGUUUUCCCUACCUCGCUCCCAAAAUUUUCUGUAUUUGAUGAUGUUUUCCAUUACUCAGGCAAUCUAAAUUGGUCUGGUUCUGAAGAACUUCUGCCUUAGUCCUUAGGAGUAUCAACAUGCUUUUUACCUUCUAGAGAACCCUUUCAUUGUGAGUUUAUCUGUUUUAAACAUCUCUUUGACUUUGGUAAAAGCACACAUGGGCGCACCAGAGUUUAAACACUUGUAAACUGCCUGCAAUGAGUAUUUGGCUUUCUUUUUUCUUUUUUUGGAUCAAACUAAGUAUUUGGCUUUCUAAGUUCAUACUUUGCUUUUGAUUUGUUUAAGCAUAGAUUGGUCGUUCACGAUCUAACAGAAUCAAUGAUAAGUUGCAGAGAGUCUAUUUUAUAGGAGAAGACACAUAAAUGAGGAUGAAAUAAGUGUGGAAGGCACAUGUGUAGAGACUGAUGACAGUUAAAACAAAAUUGUAACAGAAUCCAGUUAGGGUGGAGGCUAUUAAUAGUUGUCGCAAUGUAACAAGAGAGGCAUGUGAUAUGUGGAGUAAACCAGUCGUGAUGAGGCUGCGUUUAGAGUCUGAGAGAUGUGAAUCAAGAUUCGAAUACUCAAUUGUGUUGUUCUUGAGUUUCUUUGACUGACAUUGUUGUUCGUAAUACUGUUGGAUGUACAAGGAACAAAGAUGUACAGAGCAUUUUGUAGAGUCAGUAAAGGAUAACUUUUACAUAUCAAAGGUAUAACAGUCAAGAUAUCAAAUAGGGAGGGUACCAUGAGAGAUGCUGUAAAGCUUUUAUCAUUUUUGCUUUGCAUAGUUGAUUUUGAAGAUUGUAUCAGUCUUAAAUCGAAUAUGUUAAUUGCUAACAACUGCAAUGCAAAAGCGACUUAAAUCGAAUAUCAGUCUUAAAUCGAAUAUGUUAAUUACAAUCUUAUUACGACAAAUAACAUAGAAAAUACUACUAAACGAUAAGAAACAUGAAGAAAAAGAAGGAAGCUGCUGAACUAUAUGUCGAGGGAACAGCUCCUGAAUGCGAAGGCCUAAAGCCUGGCCCCCCGUAGAAGAAGUGAGUCUUCCAUUCUUCUGUAUACAGAUCCUUGACGCUGUAAGAUUCGGGAUUGGUUGUUAUGCUCUUCACGUCUUGAACUCGCUGGAGACUGUUGUUGAUAUCUACAGUCUGCAAGUUGCGGAAGUAGCUACUUCUCCCAAAACCUUCGUCGGGAAAGCGGCCGGACCCCAUCUGGGUCAUUGUGUGUCGGUCAAAUGGGCGCGAGUUCACUAUCUCACCACCCCAUUGUGCGACUUCCGCGUGAUCGGCCAAUGUUGUGAAAAUCUCCGCUGGCCAGUAUCCCACGAGUUCGUUGUUUGGUCCUAAACUGAGCCACCAGUUUCCAUAUUGCCGAUCCUGUAAAAACUUUUUAUCAGUUAGUUAGAAAUAAAAAAUAUAUCUAUAUAUGAUGAAUAACAUAAAAUAAAUAUUAAAUUCGAUUGAAAUAAAUCAACCUUCCAGACGUGGAUGGUUAUCUCAAACUGUCUUCCUCCCAAGGAAGAAACAGAACUAAUGGGGCCUCCGAUAACGAUACUGCUACUCGUCUGGAUGAAACCCGGGCACCGAACGUUGUAGCAUCCAGUUUUGUAUGCAUUGCCCUGGAAAAAAACAAAAUUAAACAAAAACAUUAUUGCUAUUAGCACGCAAAAAAUAAUUCAAAAUCACGCUGUGGUAGAUGAUUUUAAUAAGUAUACAGUAUUUUUCAAAUAUUAUAAACUAGGAAGUAUACAGACAUACAGUAUUAGAUCCAGUGACAUUUAUAUCUACUUUAAAAAGGGCAACUACAUCUAAAAUUCACCAAAAAAAAUCUAAGUCUUUUAUUUAACUAAAUAAUUUUAGAAAAAAUAUAUUGAUUAAAAACAUACGGGUGUAAGUAAUAAGAAUAGUAGUAGAUAAUUUAAUUUUUUUUUUGCAAUUAAAUAUUGGAUAUUUCAGGUAUUCAUUCCGUUUUUGGUUUAAAUUUAGUUUCUUGAGUUUAGAGAUUAAGAAUUUGUUCGGAUUUUUUUAUUUUUUUUUGUGUUUGCUCGAUUUCGAUUUAAGUUUUUGGGUUCGAAUGGUUUACCCAGCGAAAGUAAUAAUUACUAUUACAUAACUAAUAAACGAAAUACAGUAAACCAAUAAAAUUUGUUACAUUAUCAUCUUUACUAGCAUCAUGUGUAGAGUAAUACCUUCUUCAUCUCAUAUCUUACUGACUAGAUUUUUCGAAGGACAAAAGAAACUGAGUGGGAUAGUCCAUUUAUAUAGUUAUGUUCAACUAGUCUUUUAUUUAAAGUUACAUAUACUGUAUAUAGUAUUACUCAUUUUCAAAGUAGGUAUAAUACUAAUAGCUGCCAUGAAAAUAAAAUAACAGGUGUCGUAAUAGUAUGAAUGUGAGUCUGUAGUAUUUAACUUAAAAUUCAGAUCGAUAAUAACAAAUGUUUUCAGAAGAAUUUGAAAAAAAAAAAUAGUUGAGGAUGAUUAAUAGAGAAUUAAACGUACCGUCCAAAACAGGAAUAACCUAGGCUUGUUGUCCUUAUACAACUUCGGCAGAACCUACAUAUUUAAAAAUAAAAAUAAAUUAUUUGUAUUAGUCGUUUAUAAUGACAUAACUAGAUUGCUUGAAUUAAAAUUUAGAAAAAUUAAUAAGAACCCUUUAUAAAUUACCUGCCAGCCAAUUUCAACGGUAUUAAGAUCCCCACUUUUGUAUUGCCCCGACGCAAUCCAUAUCUGCGAUAUGGACAUCUCUUUUGCUCCAUUUUCUAUAUUGGGAUCCCAAACAUUCACUAUCGCCUUUGUUCCGUAUAAUUUUGGUGUGGUUUGCGUAGUAGUCAUGAUCGCAUACUGUAAUAUUCAAACAUAUAUACACAAAGUAGUUAAUAAGAAUGGUUACAGUAUUAAACCAAAAAAAAAAUAUGGUUACAUUAGUUAAAAGAGGUAAACAAUAAAUUAUUCUCUCGUAAAUCUAACUCACUGUUUGUGUUAUAAGAAAUACACAGAGAUACUAAGACAUAACAAUCAAGUUAGUAAAAUAUUAAAAUGGUUAGUAAACUACACAUAGAAACAAAAAGUAGAAUCAGUUUGGAAUGGCGUUUGGUUUGGUUUGGUAGACUCAUUUUUUCACUUUCUGUCACAACAUCAGUUAAGGUACUUGCAUAAUCAUUGAUGAGUUACUGAGCUAGUAAACCAAAGAGAGGCGUUAAAUAAAAUAUAUUAAUGGUGAUUGGUGAAUAUAUAUUGCAAACGAUCUUAAGAAUCAAAAUGAAUAGUUAAGAUAAUAUUAUUUGUUUAGAUAGUUCAGUUUUUUUUUUUUUUUUUGGGUAAAGGGUAAAGGAUUAGUUUAUUAAGGAGGUAUAUUUGUUAACAAGAUAGGACUAAAAAUAGAUUUUGGGUGAAAAUGUGGCAAAAAUAUAAAACUAGUAACAUCUAAUAAAAUGUGUUUCAAAUUAUUACCUCAUGCCCGGGGUGUUUAGUGGUGUCGGGUUGUGUCUUAUGAUUUACAGUGGCGUUGUUAGACCGUAUUGGUACGGUUCCUGGGGGACAUUUGGCGCUGCUGGUACGAGCUUCAAAUGUUUGUUUUUUGCGUUUUUGAGUCGUUUCGAUCGCUUUGGGAAUUUCUGAAGGCACUUCCUGUUUUUUUUUUAAAAAAGAAAAAUAAUAAUGUUUUUUUUGCUAAACUGCAAAUAUCAUUAAAAAUGAAAGUUUGGUUUUACAACCAUUACAUUGUUUCCUUGGCAAAAAGAAUAAAACAAGGUAACAAUAAAGCUUAUACAGCUAAUUAACCGAUCAUUACAACCAAAGGCUCAUUAGACGUUUGAAGCGUUUCCUGAGUCUACGAGCUGUGAUUGAAUUCCUCACCUCUCGGUCGAUACCCUUGAAGAUGACCGAAGGGAGGAUAGCAACUUGAUUAUGCAGCAAGUUGUUUCUCUGUUUCCAUAUGGCAUUGGUUACCGAUUGAGCCACCAGCUUGCGGAGAGUUGAGGGGGAUCUGGAAUUCUUUUCCUUAGUCCAGACGAUUAAUUCCUUCCAAGAGGAGAAAGACAAUCGAGGAAGAUCAAGCCUGAGGCUAACCGAGUGCCAAAUAAACCGCGCAAAGUCGCAGAAUAACAUGAGAUGGUCUCUAGUUUCCAGGUCAGAAGAACAAAAAUCACAGGAAGAAACAAUGUUCAUACCCCAGCUAGUGAGUCUUGCUUUAGUCGGUAACCUGUCCAAAUUAGCUAUCCACAUAUUGAAAGCAUUCCUGGGGAUAGCUCCUUUAAACCAAAUAGAGUUGAACCAGUCAACUUGGGAGGCCCUCGGCCUUAGCACAGACCAAGUCUUAGCUGCAGAGAAUGAUGUGGAAGUCUUCUUAUCUACCUCCCAUUCGUAGUGAUCAUUAACAUGGGAAGCACUCGGUAGAUUUAAAGUGGUAAGAAAGACCAUAAGGGUCAGUGCUUCUUCGGAACGCGGCUCAGGAAGAAGCCAACCAGCUUGAUCACAAGCAGAAGAAACCGAGGCGUUAAGAUGGACUCGGAGACUUCNNNNNNNNNNNNNNNNNNNNNNNNNNNNNNNNNNNNNNNNNNNNNNNNNNNNNNNNNNNNNNNNNNNNNNNNNNNNNNNNNNNNNNNNNNNNNNNNNNNNCUUGCUCUUCUUCCAUUACCAACUACACAUUUGAUAAAGCCCUCAGCCAAAUCUCUUAGGCGGAGAAUAGAUCUCCAGUUCCAGGAAUCUCCCUGCUUCUCCACUUGGUUCCAAAAAGAAGUUUGAUGGUUCCAAUUGUGGAGCUUAUGCCAAGCAACCCAAAGAGACCCACUAGUUGAAAAAAGGAGCCAAACAAGUUUGAGACAUAGAGUUCUGUUCCAGCUUGCAAAUCUUCUUAACCCCAAUCCUCCCUCCUCUUUAGGCAAACAAACUUGAGCCCAGGAGACCUUUACUAACCCUUUCCCGUCGAUUGUCCCCGCCCAAAGAAAUCUUGAGCAAAGGGAUUCAAUUUUUCUAAUACAACUCAGCGGAAGAAUGAAAGCAGAUAUCCAAAAAUUAACCAUUCCAGAGAUAACGGAUGCAAUAAGUUGAGUCCUGCCGGCAAAAGAGAGAGACUUAACCGCCCAAGAGUUGAAGCGACUAGAGAUCUUCUCAAUGAGAGGAGCAUACUCUGACACCUUAAGCCUUCUACUCAUUAAGGGGAGUCCCAGAUAACGGAUUGGGAGCGACCCAACAGUGAAUCCAUAGCUAGAAAGGGCUAAGGAUUCAGGUUGGCUCAAACCCGCAUGGUACAGCUGAGUUUUAUCCCUGUUCAUGUAAAGUCCCGACCACCCUGCGAAGUCCUCAAGCGUUUCAUAAAUACCGUGGAGAGAAGAGCUCAUCCCAUCAAAGAAGAUCAUAACAUCAUCAGCAAACAUCAAGUGGGAAAUUUGGAGCUCAGAUGUUCUUGGGUGAUAGGAGAUGUAACCCGAUUCAUACCGAGAUUGAAGCAAUCCAGAAAACACCUCCAUAGUUAGGACAAAAAGAUAGGGGGACAUAGAAUCACCUUGACGAAGCCCUUUUGUACUCUUAAAAUACCCAGUAGUUUGCCCAUUCACAAUGACCGAAAAGCUUGCAGUGGAAAUACACUCAUGGAUCCACCCUAUGAAUUUUUCCGGAAAAUUGAUGGCUCUAAGGCAAGAAAUAACAAAUUCCCACCUUACCGAAUCAAAUGCUUUCCUCAAAUCCACCUUAAGCAUUGCACUCGGUUGAGCAUCCUUUCUGUUAUAGCCCUGGACUAUCUCAGUUGCCAGUAAGACGUUUUCCAAUAACAAUCGGCCUGGCAUAAAGGCAGAUUGGCAAUGGUUAAUCGCUGAGGGAAGGAAAGCUUUAAGACGCCCUGCCAAAAGUUUAGAAAUCACUUUAUAAACCGUAUUAAGGCAAGAAAUGGGCCUGAAAUCCGAGAUCCGAGAAGCAUUAGGGAUCUUGGGAAUGAGGACCAAGUUAGUAGCGUUCCAUUGCUUGAGAAUCUUCCCCGAACUAAAGAAUUCCAACACAUCAUCAGUAAUUUCUGUCCCAACAAUGGACCAGGUUGUACAGAAGAACUCGGGAGUGAAGCCAUCAGGGCCACUAGCCUUGUUUUUGGGAAGGGAGAAGAAAGCUUGACGGAUAUCUUCCCUAGUAAACAAAGAGUCAAGCUCUGUUUGUUGAAUCUCAGAACAUUUAAACUUAAGGAUGUGAGAAACAUCUUCUUGAACAAACUGGGAAGGCACUUGUUCUCCACCUAGAGAGGUCUGAAAGUAAUCAACACAAUGACUCUGGAUUCCCAUCUGAGAGUCAAUGCGAUUUCCUUCAGCAUCAUACAAAAAGUGUAUAUGGUUAAUUGCCUGUCUGGAAUUGGCCAUUUUGUGAAAAUAAGCAGAAUUCAUGUCCCCUUCUCUUAUCCAAGUUACCCUCGAUCUUUGGAAAAGGAAACUCUCCUCAGCAGUGGACAAAAUGUACCAUUUACGCUGCAUCUCAAACUCCACCUCAGCAUUAGACACACUAGGAUAAUGGAGCAAUUGAUUUUGAGCUUCUGUCAACCUAACAUGAGCCUCAGCAGUUCUCUUCUCAAUGUCUGAAUAAUUAAGCUUACUGAAAUCCCUUAUAAUUUGCUUCAACGCUUUGAGCUUCUUAGAGACACGAUACAUUGCAGAGCCUGUAAGAUUCAGGGAAUACCAAUGGUACCCAAUUAAAGGAACAAACUCAGGAUUCUUCAACAGAAAAUUGUAGAACCUGAAAGGUUUCCUACACCUCGGCUUAGCCGUAUGGAAGGAGACUUCACAGCAGGCAUGAUCAGAGAAAUCCGGGUCACCAAACAGACCCAAAGAAGAGGGGAAGAGAGAGAUCCACUUGUCAUUCACAAGAAUGCGGUCAAGCUUUUUUGCAAUAGGGGCACUUUUCCUUUUAUUCCACCAUGUAAACGUGUUACCUCUAAAGUUGAGGUCGACUAGCCCAGCUUGGAGAAGAGUUUCUCUGAAAACUCUAGUAGGGCUGUCCACAUUAAGAUUGGCAGGGGAGGAGUGUUCUGAAGGAUGAAGAGUUUGGUUAAAAUCACCUAACACCAGCCAAGCUUUGUCCUGAAGAAUACCAUUAGAAGAGAGAUCAAUCAACUCUCUCCAUAAUUCCAGGCGAGAAGCUUCAUCAUUAGCAGCAUAGAUAGAGGAAAUGAAAACAGGUUCAGCACAGUCUGGAAACUUGACUUCACAACAGAUCAUUUGCAGAGAUUUGGAAACAAUCACAACAUGAAUACUCGGAUGCCAUAAAACCCAUAUCUUUCCGAGAUCAGAAAACUCAUAAUUAUUAUCAAAAGACCAACCUGGCAGCAUCGAGUUAAGGAACUUAUGCUGUUUAGGCUUCUUAACAUGAGUCUCCACGAGACUACCAAAAAGUGAUCGAUGGUUACUAUACCAUUUUUUAAAACCGCGACGAUGAGAAGCAGAAUUCAAACCGCGGAGAUUCCAACAAAAAGUGUCACUAUCCAUAAAAAUUAUAGGUUUUUGGGGCCAUUGCCCCUCGCACUCCGCUGUUGCCGCUGCGACAACACCUUUGUGAACCUCAACUCGUCUUCUAGAUCAGUNNNNNNNNNNNNNNNNNNNNNNNNNNNNNNNNNNNNNNNNNNNNNNNNNNNNNNNNNNNNNNNNNNNNNNNNNNNNNNNNNNNNNNNNNNNNNNNNNNNNGAUUUAUCGUGGACCACUUGAGUAGCCUUGCCUUUAUCGGGGGGCUUCGACCCAUCCGGGAGAUUGGAAGAAGAAGCAACCUCCCGCCCUUUACUAGAAUUGGCUACUGCCUGUGAAGACUUGGCUGGAUCGAGGGAUAAGGCCUUGGCCCUACUGCCAACAACCACCCAUUCGCCUUCUUUAGGGACCGGUUUAGGAGUUUUUGAUCUUCGUCUCCGAGCUUUCACCUUAUCCGGAAUAGGCUUAGAGGGAGGAGGAAGAGAUUUGGCUUUGGAGCGAGGGCAGUCAUCUGGAGAGUGAGAGGCCGAGUUACAAGGUUUACACAUGAUUGGGGCUGAAUGACAUCUUCGCAGGCUAUGCCCCACUUCUUUGCAGUGAGAACAAAUUGGGGGCAUCCAGGGACUAGACACCUCCACUCUAGCGAUCAAUCCCGAACUAAAUUGCGCAUUGAUAGCUUCAGGUAGCGGCUUUCGAGGGUCGAUAAUAGUAAAGACUUUUGCUACCUCGAGGUUCCGCUUAUUCAUGGUAUCCGGGUGAAGAUACAGAGGAUGACCAACCAAACUUGCAAUCCGCUGCAGUCCAUCGUCAUUAAAAAACUGAAAAGGGACCUUCCUAAGUUCCAGCCAAAUGGGUGCAGAGGAGAGUUCCGGCUUUGAAGGAGUAAGGCCAGGUUCCCAAUUAGCAACGAACAUCGUUUGGCCUUCAAUUUGCCAAAGACGUUGAUUCAGGACCCGAUUGCGAGUUUGCACAUUAGGUAUGCGAAAUAGAAAUGAGUUUCCUUCCAUUCUCGAUACCGAAAUGUCUUUAAACUGCUUACUCCAAAUUCCAUUAACAAUUGUGUGGAUAGUUCCUUGAGCAGGAGGAUCCGAGUAGAAUUGACCAAGUAUAAAUGACUCCCAAGACUUUUGAUGCUUUUCAAUUAGCGAGUCGGGAAUCUUAACACAAGCUUCACCAGAUGGGAGGGUGAAUGCCUUCCCUGCCUUCUGAAGCCUCUUAGAAGUUCCUUUGAACAUAUCGCACCAGCUCUCUAUCGCAGCAGAGGAGCAAUGGUCUGUGGAAUCUGGGUUCGCCGCAUCGACCUUGACGGGAGCAGCUUGCGCAGAAAUUGAUGAAGGUUCCUUGUCCUGGGACUGGAUCGCUUCCGUUGGAGGAGAUAUCACCGGAGAAGGCGCAGGGGCUGAAACAGCCACUUGCUUCCCUUCGACAUGCCCUAAUUUUUCCAGAUCUGAACCAGAUCGCGGAUCUGAAGAUGGAGAGACGGCCGAGCUUGUCGUGGAGACCGCUACGAGGACGCCUUUAUCUUGAGUGGUAACAGGAACCGAAGGGGAAGAUGGGAGGCCGGAGCCCGAAGAAAUGGAAGCGGAAGAAGCAGGGGAAGAGCCACCUUUGGAGGAGGAGGAGCCCCCCGAAGGAUCUUUGCGAAGUCGCUUUUGCUUCCCCAUGGGGAGGGAAGCGCAACAGGAAUCCGACUCGCGGAGGAGCCGGCGCCGUUGGAGACGUCGGAGCUGGGCCGAGAAUGAAACCACCUUAUCGCCUUGUCGCCUUUGCUAUCGCCUUGUCGCCUUUUCUUUUACUUUUCAAAACCUUGCGAGCUAAAAAAAAAAUCUUGCGAUCUAAAAAUAAUAAUGUUAGUUCCGGUUGUUUUAUAAAGCAAAUUAAAAAAUAAAAUUAUUUUUAAUUAUCGAAAAAUUAAAAUACCUGAAACCUAUGAUUCUUUAAAAGUGGAUUGUCAAACGCUGGUUGCUUCAUUUUGUCGAAGCAAUCGACAUCUUCGCCGUCUGAACUCUGUUAAUUAGAAAAAAAAUCAGUCGAUUGGAUAAAUAAAAUUUUUAAAAAUGACAACAUGCAGUUGCGCUCUGUAAUAAUAUCCCCUUCCAUCGGUUUUACUACAGUAAGUUUUAACAAUGGGUUUCUAACAUGGGCUAGCCGAACUAGUCAUUUUCUUACGGGCUCGUUUUAAACUGGGCCUAAGCUGGUGUUUUUAGCCGGAACUUGGUCUACCCCUCAAAUAUUAUUUGAAAAGGUCAAUAACAUCCAAUGGUUGUUUCCGAAUUUAGGCCAUGACCCAAAUCGCAUACAACAAACCAAACUAAACCGAAAUAACCAAACCUCAAAUACUAGUCUCUUGGUUUCAUUAUAAUUCCAUAAAAUGUGUAUUUCCUGAGUUAAUAUAUAAUAUAGACAAGAAAACCAUGCGCAGAAAAUGAUAACGAUUCAAAAUUACAGAAGGCUGAUUUUGACAAUUAGGUUUGGAAAAAAUUCAAAAUAUAAAACUAUCAAAGUCUUUGUAGGAAAAAAAAUAUAUUAUAGACUGUGUUUUUUUUUUUUUUUUGGUUAAAAGGCCUUCUGUUAAAGACUGGUUUUAUAUCAAUUUAUCUUUUGUUGCUUGGUUUGAGUUUAAUAACAGUGCUCUGGUUCAGUUACAUAGUUGUUUAUUUAUUUUGAUUUUAACUGGGAUUUACAAAUUACAACAGCUAAUAUCUCAUGUUUCUAACUUGGAUGAAAUUAUUGGUUAAUAAAAUUAAUUUACAUAUUAGUCAACCAUAGAUUAAUAUAUAAUUAAUAAUUUACCUGAAUGGUGAGGGCAUAAUUGCUCGCAGCCUGAGCAAAUGCGAGUGCAAAGAGGAUCACCUGAAGAUACUAUAUAUAUAAAAAUUACCCGGGUUAGCUAAUUAAAGACUUCACCACAAAUUAUACGUACAUCCAAUCAAAGUGUUCACCACAAAUUAUACAUUCAUCGGUCCAUGAUACUAGCUUUAUAGUCUAUAAGAUACACUUUCUUGAUGUGGUUGUAUAUAUAUAUUUGUAAUAUCUUGUUUCUUGUUUCAAAUAUAGCGAAUAUUUUUACCUUUUAAUUUAUAAAUCAGAAGUCAUUUGGCCAAUUAGAACGAAACAUGGCAAAUGUUUUAUAAUUUAACAGAAUUAAUUUUGAAAAGUAAAAAGCAUAAUAGAUUAAUAAAAAGUAAAAACACAUAAAAGAUAAAUACGUUAUAAACAACUUCCUAAAAUUUCAGAUUUUUACAAUAUGAUCACCAUUUACGAGCAAUCUCACCUAUGUUCUAUCAUUUAUAUUAUUGUCAUGCAUGUCAAUUGAUCCACACGCAAACAAACAAAAAAACGUAAAAUUUCUCCUAAAGCACAAAUCAAAAUAUUCUAUGUUGGCAUGGAACGUUUUUUCCUCUGAAGUAAACUACUAUGUUGGCAUCGAGUAAUUCAUUUCAUAUUUCUUUACACUUUUAGACUAUUCAAUUCUUCUAAAUGUCACUCUAUUCUACUUAUUCUAUAUUAUGACUUAUAUUUAACAAGUCUUGCUAAUAUGCAAAAAGUGUUGUUGGAUCUGAAAAAUUAAUUAGGGUUAACUUAUUUUUUCCAGAUCUUAAAUUAGGGAGACAAAAGGAGUCUCGAUGAAAUAUAUCAAGGUUUUUUUUUUUUCUACCUCUCAUGUAUUACCUUCUAAAAAACUCUGUUUUAUAAUUCAUGUAGCCUUUGUAUGUUUGAAGAAAUUGUCCAUGGCUAACUAAUGAGUGUGAAAAGACGACAAGGAACCUAACAACAUCCCUAGGAAACGUUUCAUCAAGAAAAUUGCAUAAUGAAAAUCAGAAACGAAAGAGAGCAAAACAUCUAUACUUAAGAAUGAAUCAUAGAUGGAAUGAUAUGUAAGUAUGGCAUUCUAUUAUUUAAUUAGAUUAUUUUUAACCAUUGUAGUCUCAGUUAGAAUGACAUUCAAAUAUUUUUAAAUCGUUGAUUAAUUAUUUGAAAUAUUGCAAUGAAAUAAAAUUAUAUUUUAAGAAAGUUAAUUCAAUUUUGCCCGUACUACAUAAUACAAGAAAAUAAAUACAUGAACAACAUUGAAAAUAUAAAAAAGAAAAAUUAUAUGGCCUAAACUUACCAUUUUUUGUUUGUUUGUUGUCGACGGCCUUUCCCCCACUCCGCUCUCUCCCUCCCUCUCAGGCAACUGGUCUCCACUCUCCGGUAACUUGUCUCAGGCAACUAGUCUCCACCUCCGCUCUCUGCCUCUCUCUCUCUCUCUUUUAGUUUUUGGAAAUCAACGUUUCAUCAUCUUUUUGGUUUUGGUUUUUCUUUUUUUUUUUUUCUUUCUGUGUGUGUUCUUGAUCUGAGUUUACUAAAAUUCAAUCAUGCGAGGAAGAAAUAACAUACCGAGUUUAUAACAACCUAUGACUUCUCCCUCUCCCCAUCUCUCGUCCGUUGAUUAAUCCUUUCCAGAUGGCGCCAUCCUUU